rnacentral:lncRNA from 1 species
ACGGUUGCAUCGCCUCCGUCUUCGCCACCACUCUCUCCGUCACUUUCCAACAGUGCCCUCUAGUAAUCUAGAAGAGUCAAGGGAUAGUUAAAUCAAGCGGCGUAAACAUGGGCCAAGUCAUCUGCUUUGAAAAAUCAAUUGGGUAGGUUGUACUAUGCGGGCUAAAAUAUAUGUUAGGUCAAUUAUGUUAGCAAACUGUCAAAUAAGUGAUAACAGAGCCCAACACGCAAGUCCUUCUGGUUUCUAUAAAUAAUUCAGCCCAAAAGUUACAAAAAGGCAUUAAAGCCAAGUAGAAGAAACCAUCAAACCCACAUAGUUUUCCCCAAAAUCCUCCUCCACUUGUGAAAGUAUCUUUAAGCUCCCUUUACUUCAACCAAAUUCUCUCAACCAACAAUUCUUUGCCCUUUUAAACCUGUAGCCUACAAGCUUCCACUUUUUCGUCGUGGGUGUCGAUGCAUAAAAGUGUAUUGCGGUUUGCAAACACAGAGGAGCCCUUUAUCACUCUCAUUCUCUUUCACUGUAAUCUCUCACCAUUUCUACUGUUUUUUUUAUUUUAACUUGUAAAAUUAAAGAUUAAAAAAAAUGAAAGAUACGAUUGUCCUUUAUACUUCUCCAGGAAGAGGUCACUUAAAUUCCAUGGUAGAAUUAGGAAAAUUGAUACUCACGUACCACCCUUGCUUCUCCAUCGACAUCAUAAUCCCCACCGCCCCGUUCGUAUCAAGCGCCGGUACCGAUGAUUACAUCGCCUCCGUCUCCGCCACAGCUCCCUCCGUUACCUUCCACCAGCUCCCUCCUCCGGUUUCCCGCAUACCCGACACUUUACGUUCACCAGCUGACUUCCCAGCCUUAGUGUACGAGCUUGGCGAGCUCAACAACCCUAAUCUCCACGAAACCCUAAUAACAAUUUCCAAACGCUCAAACCUGAAAGCCUUUGUUAUCGAUUUCCUUUGCAACCCCGCGUUUCAAGUUUCCUCGAGUACUCUCAGUAUCCCUACUUACUAUUACUUCACCUCCGGAGGGAGCGGACUCGCUGCUCUCCUCUACUUACCAACUCUUCAUAGAAACACCACAAAGAGCUUCAGAGAACUCGGCAGCAUGCUUUUAAAUUACCCCGGAUUACCGCCUUUUCCAGCAAGAGACAUGGCGGAACCCAUGCAUGACCGUGAGGGUAAAGCAUACAAGGGCUUAGUCGACACCGGCAUCCCGAUGGCAAAAUCUGCGGGGGUUAUUGUAAACACAUUUGAAUUGCUCGAAGAGAGAGCUAUCAAAGCAAUGCUAGAAGGACAAUGCACUCCAGGGGAGACGUUGCCGCCUUUAUAUUGCAUAGGGCCUGUGGUUGGUGGAGGAAAUGGAGAGAAUCGAGGACGUGAUCGACAUGAAUGCUUGAGCUGGCUUGACUCGAAACCGAGUCGAAGCGUCCUGUUUCUUUGUUUCGGAAGCUUGGGAUCGUUCUCUAGUAAGCAGUUAAAAGAAAUGGCCAUUGGGUUGGACAGAAGUGGUGUUAAGUUUCUUUGGGUCGUGAGAGCUCCAGCUCCCGACAGCGUCGAGAACCGAAGCUCAUUGGAGUCUCUUUUGCCUGAAGGGUUCUUGGAUAGAACAAAAGAUAGGGGGCUCGUGGUUGAAUCGUGGGCGCCGCAAGUAGAGGUACUGAAUCACGAGUCAGUUGGCGAGUUUGUGACUCACUGCGGGUGGAACUCGGUGCUUGAAGGUGUUUGUGCCGGGGUGCCAAUGUUGGCUUGGCCUCUGUAUGCCGAGCAAAAGAUGAUUAAAGCGGUCGUGGUGGAGGAAAUGAAGGUGGGUUUGGCGGUGACUCGGUCAGAAGAAGGAGACGGGUUGGUGAGCGCAGCCGAGUUGGAGCAGCGAGUUAGUGAGUUGAUGGACUCGGAGAAAGGUAGAGCUGUUAAGGAACGUGCGGUGGCAAUGAAAGAAGCAGCUGCAGCAGCGAUGAGGGAUGGUGGGUCAUCUCGUGUUGCAUUGGACAAUUUGGUUGAGUCAUUUAAAAGAGGACGCAUGGCUCCGUUGGGAUAGUCAAAACAAUAAUGAAGUUUUCACAAAAGUUGCAUAAAAUUUCUGUUUAGUAAUUCAAUAUUUUUUGUUUUUAAUAAGUUCAUGCAUUUUUUUUCCUUUGCUAACUUUUUGAGUAAAUGUAUAUGUAUAAAAUUAUUCGAGUAAAAAUUAGCACCUGUGAUUCUCUCUCGUUCUUUUAAAAAUAAACGAUGAUGUUUUUCUUUAAUUUGGAAUAUUAACAAUUGUAUGUCAUUCCGUAGAUUUCCUUUACUAUUCUUAGUACGCUCAUGGGCUAAUUACCAAAGGAUUAUUAUUUAAUGAAUGUCUUUUAAGGAGGGUGGUGAUGCAGAAAAACUGCCUUAACAUUUGAAUUUAUUUGUCUAGGGAAUAACAACACGAAUCCAAGCUCAAACUACAGCUCAACCAUAACUUCUUAUACUACUAACCAUAGAACACGGUUAAUACACGCUGGUGGGGGUUUCGGCAAGAAUCCUUUGAUGCUUAAGUAAGAUGUUUUGUAUAUGAGAAAAAAGAAAAUGAAAAAGAGGAAUUGGAAAUGAGUUAAAAUCAAAGAAUUCUUGGGUGGUUGUGUUGUUAAUCUCAUAAAAAAUAAGAAGGUUUUAAGACUAGCCAUUUAUAGAGCUUUUUAGUUAAUUUUUCUAAUCAUUUCCUUUGAUGCUCUUUUCCACUUAAAAUAGGCUCUCAGUUGUGGAUGGUUACUCCAUUAGUUUUAUCCCAUUCUCUUGAGCAGUUAUAGCUAGUUGUCAGUUGAAGACGGUUUGGCAAGUUGUGGUUUGUAAUUUCCCCAAAAUAUAGGCCACGUGGUCUUGACAAAUAAUAUUUCGUGUCGAGCUAGCACAUCCUCAGGUUGGACAAACAAAUUUCGAGGUUGAAUUACUUCAUUUCCAGAUCGUAUUAGUGGAUUUUUAUGUCGCUCGCAUGGGCCUAGAGUUGUAUUUAUAAAUAAGGUCGUCCACAUUAAUUCCAAGUUGUACUUGUCAACAUAGGCUUCUAGUUGUACUCAUAAGGUCAGUUCAACAACAUUUGAUUCCUAACAAGUUAGGGUCAAUUGUAUUUCUUAACAUUAUUAGAAAAAAAAAACUAAUCUCAACACCAGUCCCUUAGUUUUUAAUAUCAGGAAGUUAUUACGAGUGUUAGAAAUUAAUUAUUAAAAAAAAAUAGAAAAAUAUUCGCAAACCCAACACUAGUCGCUUAGUUUCCAAUAUCGAGAAGAUAUGAUCUGUGUUGGAAACUUAAACGGGGGAUAAUAUGACCUUGAGCUGACCAAAGAAUGCUUAGCUAAACAUGAAUGAUGCCGAGUUGAAUGGGCUUAAAAAUUGUUAAAAUUUUGCAUUGAUCAUAGAGAAAAGACAAAAAGGACGAAAAAGUAGAGAAUUAAAUAAAUAAGGUAAUAAAACAAAAGUAAAGAAAUAAAUGAAUAAGGCAACAAAACAAAAGUCAUGUCACGUUAGUAGAGGAAUGCAAAAUUUAAGUCACCAACUUUUGUCUUAUAGUCAAUACUAAGGUAAUCUCGGCCAUACGAUUGCCUAAGGGCUUAGAUAAGGUAAUCUAUGAAGGGCACAAUUACGAGAACUAGAUGUGGCUAACUACAAAUUUAUUGUACAACUCACGUGGUAUAAAUAGCAUGGAUUUAAUUAAAUAAAACACCGUACCAUCCAUAUCAUUUAUUUUUAUUAUGUUAUCUAUUUGUAUACAAUAGUUGAGAGUUUGUGACUGCUGUAUUUUAGUGUCUUCUUGUUAUUUUUCUCAAAAAGUACCAAAAAGAAAUUCAGUCCAAAGUCCAUAAUCCGACCCGGCCCAAACAUAAAUUAAGCUGUUUGGUGCUUGAGCUACGAUACGGCCUUGGAUCACUUGCAUGAAUACAGUGAGGGGCUUUUAGCAAUAGUCGUUAAUUGGCUUAUCCGAAAAGUCCAUAGUACAAACACUUCGUAAUAAUUAUUUGUAUUUUUUUAUUACAUAAUAAUAUGCAUUUGAACACACAAACCCACUCACUAAAUCCACACUUGGAAAAAAAAAAUUAAAUUAUUAAAAUAUUUGUAUUCUUUAAGCCCAUCUUUACACUCACCGUUACAUUUUUUUUAACCCUGAAUUGAUAUCUUUAUUUAUUUUUUAUUAAUCUUAGAACACAUAUAAAGUGACUCCUAUUGAAUUUAUGGAAGAGCAAAAUAAUGUUGAGAAUAAUUUUAAUUACAAAGAAGUGUGAAUUUCUUUCAUUUACAUACGACUGCCAAAUAAUAAUUUAACCAUAUGCUUAAGAGAAAUUAUAGAAUACGAGAAAACGUCGCCUAUUUUAAUUGAGAAUUUUGAUCCUCAUUGUAAAAAACUUGAUUAGUAGUAUUUCCUCGUAAGCAAAAGUUGAAAUUAAUUUGCCAGCUACAUAUUUUAGUUAAUUGUUAAGCAGGUUUAGUGAGAAUUCCAUUGAAAUAUAGUUAGAAGUUUUAAAAAAAUUGAAGGAGACUUCAUAUGCUUCUUGAAUACAACAUUUUAAAGAAAUGACAUGUGAUGGGUUUAAUAAUAGCUGGCUUUUUAAUAGUAGAGGAGUGUUAGCGACAAUCGCCCAUCAGCCGCUAACUUCAUUUGCUGACACGUGUUUGAUAUUUUGGGUUCUGUAUAGUUUUAAAUAAAUGUUAAAAUAUUAAUAUCUUUUAGUUUUAUUUUAAUAUUAUUAUAUAUAUGUAUAGUGAAAUUACCAAAACAUCCUUAUCCUUUCUCCUCCUUGCCAAGCUUUCUCUUCUUAUUGUUCUCUUCUCCGUCAAUUUCUUUUCCUUCUUUUCUCCUUUAACGAAAGAUUGGAAGGGAAAAAAAAAAAAAGACAAGGGGAAAAAAGAUUUAAAAAAACAAAGUCUCCUAAAAAAAGAAAUGAUAACAAAAUAUUAUCGUUGCUUGAAAGAUGACCGUCUCUCCACUUCUCCUACUUCAGAUUUGAUAUGAUAUUUUAUUUUAGGUGCGUAAUCGGAUCUACAUGGCUAGGAUAAUUUUUGUUAUUUAUUUUUUAAAGUAAAAUAUUUUUUAAAAUUUUAUUUUAGCUAAAAAGGAGACUUGACUUCAAAUUUUUUUUUUUCCCUUUUCUCUCUUUUUUCCAAGCUUCCAGUAGAGAGAGAAAAGAAAUUGAAGAAGCAGAGAAGGAGCUGCAGUGGCAGGGAGAACAAGCCUGGCGAGAGGGAGAAAUGAUAAGGAUAUUGUGGUAAAUUCGUUAUACAUAAAAAUAAUAAUAUUAAAACAAAACUUAAAGAUAUUAACAUUAAUUUAAAAUUACACAGAACCAAAAUAUCAAACACGUGCCCAUAAAAUAAAAGAGCGACUGAGUUAGUGGCCCACAAGGGCGACCGACUGUCGCUAGCACACCUCUUUAUGCUAUCAUUAAUCAAUUGACAUGUAAUGUGCCAGUAAAUUGGGACACAAAUAUUUUAUUCCGAUUUCGCGGACAGAUUAAUUGUACUUCAGUACUCGCCGAGCCAAUAAUUUAAAUUAAAAUUGGUCAGCAUUAACAUGCCACGAAUAUAGCUACAAGAUUGGCUUAAUCGCAAUGGAAGUGACUGUUGUAGACUUCAUAUGUUCAUAUUUUGAUUGGCCUAAUCGCAAUUGAAGUGACUGUUGCAGACUUCAUAUGUUCAAAUUUUGAUUGGCCUAAUCGCAAUGGAAGGUUCACAUGCCUAAUAUAUUAUUCUUACUUCUAAAAGGAUAAAAAUUUAAGGAGUUUUCUCUCUAUAAAUUUAAUUUUAUUGUACAUACGAUCACAAAUUUAAAUUAAAUUGUCACAUGAAUCAUUUGUAAGGCUAAUUUGAUAACGUUGUAUCUUUAAAAAUAAUUACCGGUAAAUAUAUCAUAAAGAAACCAAUAAAACUAAUAUAUUAAUAUUCUAAACUUUUUUCUAUAAGCUCCGACCUUUUUUUUAGCAUUUAAUAAUUUUAAAUUAUAGGUAAAGAAAUGAAAGAAUACUUUAUUUUUUAUCCUUCUCCAAGAAAAAUGUCACUUAAAUUUCAUCGUAGGAUUAGGAAAAUUGAUACUUAAUUACCACCCUUGCUACCAUAAUCCGCACCACCGCCCCAUUCGAAACAAGCUCCUGUAUCCACGGUUGCAUCGCCUCCGUCUCCGCCACCACUCCUUCCGUCACUUUCCACCACUUCCCUCUGGUAAUCUAGAAGAAUUAAGGGAUAGUUUUUGUUUUUUAUUUUUAUUUUUAAUACGGUGGAGCCUAGUUAAAGAUUAGGAGAAAACAGAGCGGGGUAGGGGACAGGUAAAUCAAGCGGUGUAAACAUAGGCCACGUCAUUUGCUUUGAAAAAUCAUAGUGGGUAGUUGAACUAUGUGGCUAGAAACAGGUUGGUCAAUUAUGUCAGCAUACUGUGAUUGUCUGAUGGGUUCACAACCUGGCAACUAAGUGACCUCAACUCGCAAGUCCUUCUCGUUUUGAUAAAUAAUUCAGCCCACAUGCUACACUUACACAAGGCAUUGAAGCCGAGUAGAAGAGACUUAAUCGUUUUCCCCAAAAUCCUCCUCCACUUGUGAAAGUAUCUUUAAGCUCCCUUUACUUCAACCAACAAUUCUUUGCCCAUUUCGUCGUGGGUUUCGAUGCAUAAUUGCAUUGCGAUUAGCAAACACAAAGGAGCCCUUUAUCACACUCUCAUUCUCUCUCACUAUAAUUUCUCACCAUUUCUACUGUUUUUUUUUUUAAAUUUUAACUUGUAAAAUUAAAGAUUAAAAAAAAUGAAAGAUACGAUUGUCUUUUAUACUUCUCCAGGAAGAGGUCACUUAAACUCCAUGGUUGAAUUAGGAAAAUUGAUACUCACGUACCACCCUUGCUUCUCCAUCGACAUCAUAAUCCCCACCGCCCCGUUCGUAUCAAGCGCCGGUACCGAUGAUUACAUCGCCUCCGUCUCCGCCACAGCUCCCUCCGUUACCUUUCACCAGCUCCCUCCUCCGGUUUCCGGCCUACCCGACACUUUACGUUCACCAGCUGACUUCCCAGCCUUAGUGUACGAGCUUGGCGAACUCAACAACCCUAAACUCCACGAAACCCUAAUAACAAUUUCCAAACGCUCAAACCUCAAAGCCUUUGUUAUCGAUUUCUUUUGCAACCCCGCGUUUCAAGUUUCCUCAAGUACUCUCAGUAUCCCUACUUACUAUUACUUCACCACCGCAGGAAGCGUACUCGCUGCUAACCUCUACUUACCAACUCUUCAUAAAAACACCACAAAGAGCUUCAGAGAACUCGGCAGCACGCUUUUAAAUUUCCCCGGAUUUCCGCCUUUUCCAGCAAGAGACAUGGCGUUACCCAUGCAUGAUCGUGAGGGUAAAGUAUACAAGGGCUUAGUCGACACCGGCAUCCAGAUGGCAAAAUCUGCGGGGGUUAUUGUAAACACAUUUGAAUUGCUCGAAGAGAGAGCUAUCAAAGCGAUGCUAGAAGGACAAUGCACUCCAGGGGAGACGUCGCCGCCUUUAUAUUGCAUAGGGCCCGUGGUUGGUCGAGGAAAUGGAGAGAAUCGAGGACGAGAUCGACAUGAAUGCUUGAGUUGGCUUGACUCGAAACCGAGUCGAAGCGUCCUGUUUCUUUGUUUCGGAAGCUUGGGAUCGUUCUCUAGUAAGCAGUUAAAAGAAAUGGCCAUUGGGUUGGAGAGAAGUGGUGUUAAGUUUCUUUGGGUCGUGAGAGCUCCAGCUCCCGACAGCGUCGAGAACCGAAGCUCAUUGGAGUCUCUUUUGCCUGAAGGGUUCUUGGAUAGAACAAAAGAUAGGGGGCUCGUGGUUGAAUCGUGGGCGCCGCAAGUGGAGGUACUGAAUCAUGAGUCAGUUGGCGGGUUUGUGACUCACUGCGGGUGGAACUCGGUGCUUGAAGGUGUUUGUGCCGGGGUGCCAAUGUUGGCUUGGCCUCUGUAUGCCGAGCAAAAGAUGAUUAGAGCGGUCGUGGUGGAGGAAAUGAAGGCGGGUUUGGCGGUGACUCGGUCAGAAGAAGAAGACAGGUUGGUGAGCGCAGCCGAGUUGGAACAGCGAGUUAGUGAGUUGAUGGAGAAAGGUAGAGCUGUUAAGGAACGUGCGGUGGCAAUGAAAGAAGCAGCUGCAGCAGCGAUUAGGGAUGGUGGGUCAUCUCGUGUUGCAUUGGACAAUUUGGUUGAGUCAUUUAAAAGAGGAUGCAUGGCUCCGUUGGGAUAGUCAAAACAAUAAUGAAAUUUGCACAAAAGUUGCAUAAAAUUUCUGUCUUGUAAUUCAAUAUUUUUCGUUUUAAUAAUUUCGUGCAUUUUUUUCUUGCCUUUGCUAACUUUUUGAGUAAACGUAUAUGUAUAAAAUUAUUCGAGUAAAAUUAUUAAAGCUAGCACCUAUUCCAAUUUGAUGAAUUGAGCCAUAGGAAAAGGUACGCAAACGAACAAAAACAAUUAUAAUAAAUUGCAUUAUCUAAAUCCUUAGGCAACGUAUUGCCGAGAUUACCUUAUAAUAAAAAGAAUUAUAAUAAAUCACAUAAAUUAAGCCCUUAGGCAACGAGUGGCCGAGAUUACCUUAUUAUUGGCUAUAAGACAAAAGUUUGUGACUUAAAUUUUGCUUUCCUCUACUCACAUUACAUGACUUUUGUUUUGUUGUCUCAUUCAUUUAUUGUUUUGUUGCCUUAUUUAUUUAUUUCUUUUACUUAUUCGUCCUUUUUUCUCUUCUCUAUGAGCAAUGCAAUUUUUUUUUUACAAUUUUUGAGCCCAUUCAACUCGGCAUUAUUUAUGUUUAGCUACGCUUUCUUUGCUCAGCUCGAGGUCAUAUUGUCCUCCGUUUAAGUUUCCAACACCAAUCGUAUCUUUUCAAUAUUGGAAACUAGGGUGCUAGUGUUGGGUUUGCGAAAAUAUUUUCUAUUUUUUAAUUAAUUUCCAACACCAGUAAUAGCUUCCCAAUAUUAAAAACUAAAGGAUUGAUGUUAGGUUUACGAAUUUUUUUUUUCUAUUUUUUCAAUAAUUAGUUUUGAGCACCAGUAAUAGUUUCCCGAUAUUAAAAACUAAGGGACUUGUGUUGAGGUUGGAUUUUUUCUAACAAUGUCGAGAAAUACAGUUGAUUCUAACAUUUGUUCGGAAUCAAUUGUCGUUGAGCUGGCCUCAUGAGUACAACUAAGAGCCUAUGUUGGUGACGUGGUUUAUAAGUACAAUCUAGAGUCAAUGUGGACGAGCUGGUUUAUAAAUACAACUCUAAGUCCAUACGAGCGACAUAAAAAUCUACCAAUCUGAUAUGGAAAUGAAGUAGUUUGAGCUGGAAACUCGUUUGUCUGACCUGAGAAUAUGCUAGCUUGACACGGAAUAUUAUUUGUUAGGACCACGUGGCAUAUAUUUUGAGAAAGUUACAUAACAUGCAACUUAUCAAACCGCCUUUAGUUGACAACUAGCUGCAACUGCUCAAGAGAGUAGAAUAAAACUGAUGAGAUAAUCACCCACAAUCGAGAGCCUAUUUAAGUUGAAAAGAGCAUAAGAGAAAAGUGGUAGAAAAAUUAACUAAAAAACCCUACAAGUGACUAGUCUUAAAACCUUCAUAUUUUCUACGAGAUUGACAACACAACCACCGAAGAAUUCCUUGAUUUUAACUCAUUUCCAGUUCCUCCUUUUCAUUUUCUUUUUUCUUAUAUACAAAAUGUCUGACUUAAGCAUCGGAGGAUUCCUGUCAGAAACCCCCACCGGCGUGUCCUAACCGUGUUCUGUGGUUGGCAGGUAUAGGAAGUUGCAGUUGAGUUGUAGUUUGAGCUUGGAUUCGUGAUGUUAUUCCCCAUAAAAUAAAUUAAGCUCUUGAGGUCAUUUUUGGGCAUCAACAUAGGGUUGGGUGUAGAGUUUAAUUAUAAAUUUUAACUCUUUAUCUCUCUAGAAGUUGAACUCAUACAACUAAUUAAAUAAAGAGGGUGAAAGCUACUCUUCAAAUCCCUGAAGUCAAGUAAACACAUAAAAUUAAUCUAAGUAAUUAAGUUUUAAAAAAUGCUGGAAUUUUUCAUCAAGUAUUUUUUUCUUAAUCAUGCAAAUAUAAGGGAAUGAUAAGUACCAGACGAUUUAUCAUGUAACUAAAAUGUAAAAUUAAUUAAUUUUUCUUAAUAUACUCCUUGUCCUUUUAAUUUUACUGUACUAAUAAUUAGGGAUGAGCAAACUCAGCCCAACUCAAUACAUUCGAUCCAAUCCAAUUUAAACAAGUUGAGUGGGUUGUUAUGAGUAAUAAGUUUAAUUUUUUUUAUAGUUUAUUAUUAAUAUCUUUUAAAAAAAAGGAAAAAAAAUCUUUAUCUUCUCAUAUUCAUUGAAUUAAAUAUUUUGAAAUCAUUUCCACCAACAUUCCACUGAAUUAGUAGUAGAGAAUGCUACGUUAGAACGCUAUUUUAUUUAAUAUCAACAAAGGCCUCUUUGGGUCAUUUGCGUGAAUAAAAUAGUAUUGAUAUUUGAAGCAGAAAUUUGAAAAGAAUGAAACAAAAGCCUGCAGACGCCCCAUCAUUAUGUUGGUAAUGUCUGAUUAAUGACGUAUGCAGUUACAAGCUUAGAGUACAAAUUCACAUAACCAGCUAUAACUUUUAAGAUACAAUAAUUAUACAAAAAAAAUUAUAAUUAUAAAAUAAAAUUUAAUGGUACAUAGUAAAUAUAAUAUUUAAAUAAUAAAAAUAAAAAAUUAUAUCAACAUAAUUUCUAAGAUACUGCAGUUACUGUUUAUCAAACACUUUAAUAUUAUAAUUUUUAAAUUACAUUUACACAACUUCAAUAAUAAAACAGGGGCAUAAUUGAAAUGCCUUGUAUACACAUCAAAGGUCUACAUAAAUUUAAAUGGGAGAAUGAGAUUCCAGCCGAGUCGAGCAUGCUAGAACCCAGAAAUAUCCUAUCUUGCUGAGCAGGGGCGCAUCACAUCAGUUUGAUAUUCGAAAUUACACUUUAAGAUAUGCUUAUAGUCAGCAGAAAGCAUAAGAGCUGAUUUGUACUCAGCAAUAAUCAAAAGGUUUAUUCACCCAAGCAAAUUGAAAAUAAAACAUAUUGAUCCAUAACAGAGGACAAUUUGACGACGGGUUACAUUUCAAACGUUCACCAAACCUUAUGUGUAAGAGUAGAACAUGGGCUAAACAGAACAAUAUACAAGCUCCUUCAAGCACACAUUAGUUACAAAGCUUUUGACCCUGGAACGUAAACUCCGAGCAAGAAAGACGGAAUGCCAUCUGAGAGACAGAUUUAAUUGCUCCUGCAAGAACCAGUGAAAGCAAAGAAACCAAAAAACGAGGCAUUAGUUUGGGAAAGAAAAAUAUGUGAUGCAAUAAGAAGUGAGCCGACUAUAUCAUAAAUUAAACCCACUUAACAUGUGAAUGAGUAUUACCGUUUAAUCCCUGAACGUUCUUUGCAGUUUGGCAAUAUUCACAGCUGUUAUCAGAUAGACCCAAUCUUUCACACUGGUUAGGAAUUUGAAGUAACCAUGUCUCCACGAAGUAUUCACCAGUAAAGUGCCGCAGACUCCCCAGAAUCCAAUAAAGAAACCAAGAAUCACACUCACGUAGAACCCGAAAGUUAUCAACUGAUCCUCCCCUUCUGGAGUGUUUGCAUCAUCUCUCUCUGGGCUUGCAGCUGAGUCUUCAUCCGGACACUUAUUUCGAAGUGGGAGGCCGCAAAGUUCAGGAUUUCCAGCGUACACCGAGGCAUUGAAGCUCUGGAGUUGAGUGCCCAAUGGAAUUUUGCCUGACAAGUUGUUGUACGACAAGUUCAUGACACUAAGACGACUUAACUGACAAAGGCUUGAAGGAAUGCCGCCGACAAACUGAUUUUGAGACAAAUCGAGGAAAUCCAAUGAUUUUAACUGAUCGAUCUUUGGAGUGAUUUGUCCAGUUAAAUUGUUUCUCGAAAGGUUCAAGGCAACCAAUCCCACAAGAUCCAUAAUUUCUUCAGGAAUAGUGCCACUUAAUUUAUUCAUUGAAAAGUCAAGGAUCUUCACAAGUCCUAGAGUGCUUCUGUACUCGUGCUGACUUCCUUUCCAUGUUAACACAACAUUGUCGACAUACGAUUCGAGAAAUUCUAUGCCUUGACGUUCAAAGGUAUAGUUGGAUGUAAUGGCAAGAUUGGAACUGCUCUUUUGGGCCAUACCAGUAAAAUUAUUUAAACAUUUUGGUAUGAUUCCCGAUAUAUUGUUUAACGAAAGAUCCAAGAUCUGAAUGUAUGAUAGUUGGCAAACCUGAAAAGGUAUAUUUCCAUGGAAUUUGUUGGAUUUCAGACUCAGAACAACCAAUUUUGGAAGGCCUUCUCCGAUCCAUGUUGGUAUCUCUCCGGAUAAUCCGUUCUUCCCAAGAUCCAUAAGUAUCAGUUGUGAGCAGCUCUUGAAAAAUGAAGGCAAUUCCCCAAUUAAGCUAUUGUUGUACAAGCUCAAUGUUUGGUUAGAAUGUAGGAAGCCCAUUGACUUUGGAAUUUUCCCAGAAAAGAAGUUGUUGGCCAAACUAAGAACAGCUAGCCUAUCGAAUUGCAUCCAACAAUCUGGAAGCCUUCCUGAUAAUAUGUUAUUUGAGAGAUCAAGAAAUUCCAAUUUAUGGCCAUUGAUAGAGCAUAAGAAGGAAAUUGACUCUGAAAACUUAUUUCUGGAGAGAUUUAAGACUGACGCAUUUGAAGGAAGAGGCGGAAUUAGGCCCUCAAAGUAGUUUGAACUAAUAUCUAUGCUAGAACUAAAAGGAUCAAAUCUCAAAGAUAAAUUUGGAAGUUUACCCUUGAUAUGAUUGUUAGAGAGAUUGAAAUCAGCUAUUGUAUGGGAUAGAUCCCAAAACCAAUCGGGGACAGUAUCUGAGAUUCCAGCAUCGGAGAUAUCAAGUACCUCAAUUUGAUUUUGAGUUUGAAGCCAUUUUGGAAAAUGAGGCCCCAUCUGACAUGAGCCGAGAAGUAUAAUGAUUAGCUGAAAGGGAGGAAUCCAGUCAUGGCUGAAUUUCAAUGUGAAAGAGUUAUCAUCUAAAUGCAAUGCCUUUAAGUUGGAGAGUUCUGAAAACACAGAUUCAGUGACAACACCGGUUAACGAAUUCCCAGAAAGUGACAGAGCAUCAAGCUUGUACAUGCGGCUGAGCCAUUGGUUUAUAGUCCCAUUUAAACCAUUUUUUCCAAGAAACAAUUCUUUCAAGAUGAAAAUCCUCCAAGAUCAGGUAUUGGCCCCGCGAUAUCAUUGUGAGCUAAAUUCAGCCACUCCAGGGAAUUGUUCAUGCAUCCACCAGACAGAUUUUGAAUGAAGUCCCAGAGCUGUCCACUGAGUUUAUUGGAUGACAAAUCUAACGUAUUUAAACUACACAUGUUUCCGAAGAAUUGUGGAAUCCCACCUUCAAGUUCAUUAAAUCCGAGAUAGAGAGUUCGAAGAGAAACCAUGCGAUCAAAAGGCUCUAGAAGCGAACCUUGUAAUAGGUUAGAAUCCAGGUCAAGAACAACAAGCUUGCUACUAAUAUUGAACAACCAAGGGUAUAUUGAAGAAGAGAGACUGUUUUCAAAUAGAUAAAGGGCCCCAAGUGAUGAUGUACUAAAAUUAAGGUGCAAAAGAUCGGAUGGAAUGAUAGGUGGAAGAUGACAAUGCUCUAGAUUCAAAGUUCUUAGGGACGGGAGCUUGUCAAUUAUGCGAAGCCAGUCACGGGAUUUAUUGAGGUUAAUAUAACUCAGGUCAAGAUAUUUCAGUCUUGAAAGGUUUCCAAGCUGAGAAGGGAUUGGUCCUUCAAACUCAGCAGACGAAAGACUGAGGUACCUCAAUUUGUUGAGGGAACCAAUGAACUCUGGGAUUCGACUUCCGCUGAAGUCAUUUUCACUAAGGUCCAAAUGUCUUAAAUGAUACAAUUUAAGCAAAGAAGGGCUGAUUGUACCUUUCAAAGGCUCUGAGUGAACCAAUACUUGAAGAUCGAGAACAAUAACGUGGCCCGUUGUGUUGCUACAGCGGACUCCUCUCCAGUAACAGCAAUCUCUUUUGUCAUCUUCCCUUCCCCAAGAGGACAGAAUGCCGUAUUCAUCCACCAGGCUCUGCUUGAAUUCCAGUAGUGCUUCUCUUUCCUCUUCCAUGCACCUUAUCACGUUAUUAGAAUCUGCAACUCUUGGCUGAAUAUUGAGCAGAAUCGCACAAAAGGAAAUAAAAUGUACGAGGAAACAUUGAGCUGACAUUGUUAACAUUAACAUUAAUUGAAAAGAUAUGGCAAUUACAACUACUCGUUUGAUUUAUAUAGUAGCUAGCUGUAGGCCUAUAGCUUGUCUUUCUCAACAUUAGUGUUUAGUUAAUUCGCUCAAUAACUUUUGCAAAAGCAAUUUGCUUCUUCUUCUUCUUAUUAUUAUUAUUAGGGAAAUUAUCAUUUUACUACUAAAGUUUUACUGACAUAUCUUGUCAGUACCAAGAUUUGCCGAAAAAUAUAUUUUAUUACCAAAGUUUUGCGCCGUUAUCAAUUCCCUACUAUUCCUUUAAGAAAAAGUUAAUGUUUAACGGAAAUUGAGUUAAAAGUCGAUUUUACCCCUAAGAGUUUGAUAGUAAAAUGAUAAUUUUCCUAAAAAUUUGAUAGUAAAAUGAUCAUUUAUCUAUUAAAUUAACAGACAAUUUUACUCUUACAGCUGAAAAUGUCUUUGAUGCCCUUAUAACAUUAGCAAAUUUUUAACGUUGUUAACGGAAUGGUAGUGAAUUAAUAUCGGUGCCAAACUUUGAUAGUAAAAUACACUUUUCGUCAAAUCUUGGUACUGACAUGAUAUGUCAGUAAAACUUUAAUAGUAAAAUAAUAAUAUCCCUUAUUAUUAUUUUUUCUCUAUUCUACUUUAUGAAUAUUGGAAAAAGCAGACUUUGGCCCAUGACAAUGCAAAUGCAAUGCCCUGCGUUUCCGUCAGCCUUGAAAAUUAAUGAUGUGAUCAUAAUUCAUUCAAAUUCAUGUGAAACGCAGACUUAUUUGAAUUUGAAUGAAUUGUGCUGAACUUUUAUAUAUUUUGUGUUACACAUGCAUUUCUAAAUAUUAAUGAUGUGAUCAUAAUUUAUCUAUUGUUUUAAUUUUUUAAUUUAGUUUUUAUUUUUAUUUUUAUAUUUUAUUAUUAUAGGAAUAUUUGGAAUACUCAAGUGAAAGGGAGCUUAAAAAAAAAACAAAUUAUAGUUUAUGGAAAUAAUUGCUGCUUGUGAAGAAUAAAAAGAAAGAGGAAAAAGGAUGCUUAAAGGAGAACAAUUGGCAUUUUAUAUGUGCAACUCACGUGAAUAGUUGGAAAAACAUUGACCAUUGAUUCAAGUGGGCUUCACGUGUAUGGGCUUAAAGUCGGUUGAGCUUGACUUGUUUUAAAUCCUUUUCAUUUGAGUAUUUUGUGGUGGUGUUACAAUAUAAAAAGAAGAACUAGAAGAAAGCAGCGGAAACAAGAAAAAUUGAAGAGGGCAGCCGCAAAACUGAGAGAAAAACCGAGAGCAAGAAGAAAAGAAAAAAAAAAAAAAAAGAGAAGCCGCCGCUGCAAAUUCGGGAGCAACAAUUUGGAAAAGUUAAUUGCAGAGAUUGGAGAGAGACAACUUUUUGAGCUUAUUCUUUCUCUUCUUUUUUUUUAUUAUCUUGCUUGAAUGUUAGCAAUUAAAUUUAUAAAUUCUCUUUAUAUUUUCAUAAAUUAAUUUAUUUUACUAGGGCUACGAUGUAGCCUAACUAUGAAGAUUUAAUUCUAUAAAUAUAUGUUAUUUUUAGUUUAUUAUUCCAUAGUUGAAUGUUCAUUAUUCUACUUAAUACUUUUAAACAUUUGACUAAUAUUUGAAUGAUUUGAGGAUACAUAAUGAGAUCGAGAGAAUAUUUAUUUAUUUUUGUUCUGUGUAAUGGAUGUCAUGAAUUGAACGAAAGAUAGAGAUGUGCCAAUGUGAUUCAUGCAGUUUUUCUAAGAAUUUCCAUAGAGUUUAAUGGAUCUUUGGAUAUUUAAAUUCACAUAUAGAUAUAAUGGGUUAAUAUGUGAGGGUAUUCUUGAUAUUACUCGAGAGAGGAUAUUGAAUAGAUUAGGGAACUUUAUUGUCAACAUGAGUAAUAAACUUUAAUAGCAUAGAUGGAUGAUUAAAUUGGAUUGGUUAUGGUGAAAUCGAAUGUCCUAGUGUUUUAAUCUCUUGGUGAUUUCGAUUACUGCUUGCAUAUUUAUUUAGUUUUUAGUUAUUUUAUUUUAUUUUAAUUUUUAAUCUAAAUUCGCCUAUCUGAUUGUUCAAAUAAAUUAGGGUUAGAAUAAUUUCGGUAGGUAAUAAAAUAUACAAUCUCUGUGGGACGAUAUUCUACUUUUCAUUAUAUUACUUGUGCUGACUAGUAUACUUGAUAAUUUAUGCAUAAAGUUUUGGCGUUGUUGCCAGGGAUUGUUUAGAUUAAUAUCGAUACCAACUAACCUUAGUUUAAUUUGAAUUUGAAUUUUAUUGUUUUUAUUUUUAUUUUUGUUUUCUUGUUUAAUUUUAUGAGACGUUCAAGAAGUUUUGAUUUAUUGCCUUUUGAUACAAAGAUUGAAUGCACUUGUAAAAGGCUUAAUAGAGAAAAGAGAGAAGCUUUAUAAGAGCAACAACUAAUCAUGGCUGAUGAAUCAUUACAGGAAAAUGAGGAUGCAAGACUUUUAAGAGAUUAUGGUAUUCCUACAGUUAAUGGUACUCGCUCAAGCAUUGCACGCCCUGCCGGUCAAGCCAAUAAUUUUGAAAGUAAGUAAGCCAUAAUCUAGAUGAUUUAGACGUCAGUACAAUUUGUUGGGAUGUCGAAUGAUGAUCCAAAUGCUAAUUUGCAAAUUUCUUGGAAAUUUAUGACACAUUUAAGCAAAAUUGUGUUUCAGACAAUGCUUCAGGCUAAGGCUUUUUCCGUUCUCACCGAGGGAUAAAACAAAAGAGUGGUUAAAUUCACUCCCUAAUGGAACAAUCACUACAUAGGAUGGUUUAGUGCAGAUGUUUUUAAUAAAAUACUUUUCUCCAGCAAAAACAGCUAAGUUGAGGAAUGACAUCACAACCUUUGCUCAGUUUGAGCUAGAAUCAUUAUAUGAAGUAUGGGAGAGAUACAAAGACCUAUUAAAAAAUGCCCACAUCACGGUCUACCAGUUUGACUUUAGGUACAAAUAUUUUACAAUGGUUUGGGAUCCAAUACCAGAACAAUGAUCGAUGCUGCAGCAGCAGGAACACUAAUGGGAAAAACACCAGAAGCAACUUAUGAAUUAUUGGAGGAGAUGACCUCUAAUAAUUACCAAUAGUUUUCAGAGCAAUCAAUGCCAAGGAAAACUGCAGGAGCCCAUAAUUAGAGCUGGCAAAAUGGGUCAACGGGUCGUGUCAAAUUUAGGUCGACCCAAACCGAACCCAUUUAAUAAUUAUGUCAAAAUAUUAAGACCCAAAUCCGACAUGAAAAAAUAAUCUGGUUACUCAAUAACCCACUUAAUAUCUAUAUAUUAAACAAAAUUUACAUCAAAUAUCUAUAUACUAUUGUACAUACAUAAAUACAUAUAUAAUUUAUUGAUAUUAUAAAAUGUACAUAUCUACAAAAAUAUUACACAUUGACACUAUUGAAGUUUUAAUUUUGUAUUUAUAUAAUAUUUUAUAUUGAUAUUAUAAAAUAUACAUGUCCAACAAUAUUUUACACAUUUACAUUCUUGAAGCUCUUAAUGUAUAUAAAAUUUUAUAAAUAAAAUACAAUGUUUAUAUUUAUCUUUUCAAAAAAAUAAAAGAGAGAAUUAUAUCUAAUAUUUUAGUUUUGAUAACAAGAAUCUACAAAUUAUUUUAAAAUAAAAAAUAUAAUCGGGUUAAAGAUCAGAUAAAUGGGUCAAGAACUUUAACUCUAACCCGACACGAAAAAAAUAGUGUCGACCCGGUCCCAAUCCAUUUAAUAAUCAUCUUAAAUUUGACGACCCAUACCCAUUCAUUCGUGUCGUGUUCGUGUCGGGUAAUCGGGUUAUGUCAAAUUUUGCCAGCUCUACCCAUAAUAUUGAUGUUGUCACUGCUUUAUCUGCACAAAUGAGUGCUUUAUUUAAUAACCUGGAGCAUCUAAAUGUCAAUGCUAUUCAAACUCAAGUGUGUGAAUUAUGCGGAAGGAAUCAUACCAGUGUCAACUGCCAAGUUAUAAGUCCUUUUACAUCAUCAUCUGCUGAACAAGCUCAUUAUGUGUCGAACUUCCAAAGGCAACAAAAUAACCCAUAUUAUAAUACCUACAAUCCUAGCUGGAUAAACCACCCGAAUUUAUCAUGGAACAACACUCAAAAUACAUUAAAGCCAUCUCCAGGGUUCCAAUCACAAGAAAAGAAGUCAAAUUUAGAAGAUGACCUUACCCAUCUUACAACAAAUACAUUUUAAAAUCAAGCUGCAUCAAUCCGAAACCUCGAGGUGCAAAUGGGUCAGAUUGCAAACUUGUUAUCCAGCAAACCACAAGACUCUCUGCCGAGCAAUACAGAGACAAAUCAAAAGGAACAAAUGAAUGCAAUUAUGCUUCGGAACGAUAGACAACUUGAAGAUCAGUCAAAGGAAGUAAAGGAAGUUGAAGAAGAUAACAUGGAGCAAAUUAAGGACAUUACUAGAACAUUCGAGACAACAAGUGCAGAAAUUCCACAAUCACAAAAAUCAGCUCUAGUCAAAGCCUAUGUUCCUCCGAUCCCGUUUCCUCAAUGCCUUUAGAAAAACAAAUUAGAUAAGUAGUUUUCUCAAUUUCUUAAUUUUUUUUAAAAAGUUGCAUAGUAACAUCCCUUUUGCAGAUGCAUUAGAACAAAUGCCGAGCUAUACUAAAUUCAUGAAAGAAAUUUUAUCCAACAAGAGGAAAUUAAAAGAGCAUGAAACAAUGUUGUUAACUAAAGAGUCCACUAUAAUUUUACAAAAUAAAUUGCCACCGAAGUUGAAAGAUCCAGGAAGUUUUUCUAUCCCAUGCACUAUUGGAAAUACUUAUUUUGAUAAAGCUUUGUGUGAUUUAGGUGCAAGUAUUAAUUUGAUGCAUUUGAUGCCUCUAUCAGUUUUCUGGAAAUUAGGACUCGGUGAACCAAAGGUAACAACUGUUUCUCUUUAAUUGGCAGACAUGUCUAUAAAGUAUCCCAGAGGCAUGAUUGAGGACGUACUUGUUAAGGUCAACAAGUUUAUAUUUCCUACAUAUUUUAUUGUUUUGGAUAUGAAUGAAGAUUGGGAGAUACCAAUUAUUUUAGGUCGACUAUUCCUGGCCACGGGAAGAACUCUUAUUGAUGUCCAAGAAGAAAAACUAAUUUUUAGGGUGCAAGAUGAACAAGCCACUUUCAAUGUGUUCGAAUCAAUGAAAUAUCCAUCCGAGAUUGACACAUGCUUUCAAAUAGACACCAUUGAUAAAAAGAUAAUUGAGAGCGUUCGCAAUACAAUGCUGAAUGACUCAUUAGAAGGAUGUAUUGUUCACUUUGGGACUACUCAAUCUACGAAUAUAAGCAUUCAGAAGUAUGCAUGUUAUUUGGAAGCCUCACCAUUUUACUUACUUUAAAAAAAGCCAGAAUUAGAGGAGCUUGGUAGAAGUCCUUUUUGACCAAAACCUUCAAUAGAAGAACCUCUAAAACAUGGGCUUAAGCCUUUGCCCUCUCAUUUAAGGUAUGCUUUUAUUGAUGAUAACUUUAAGCUACUAGUUAUUAUUUUUUCUGGCAUGACAGAUCUUAAAGAGGAAAAACUACUUUGAGUUUUAAGGGACCACAAAACUAUUCUAGGAUGGACUAUUUCCGACAUAAAAGGAAUAAGCCCCUCAAUUUGCAUGCACAAAAUUCUAGUGGAGGAGAGUUAUAAGCUGACGGUAUAGCCAUAAAGGCGCCUAAAUCUGAACAUGCAAGAAGUGGUUAGGGCAGAUGUGCUUAAAUUAUUGGAUGUUGGGAUAAUUUAUCCAACCUUUGAUAGUUCAUGGGUCAGUCCAAUGCAAGUGGUACCAAAGAAGGGAGGAAUGACGGUUGUAAAGAAUGAUAAUAAUGAACUUGUUCUGACAAGAACAGUCACAGGUUGACGGGUAUGAAUGGAUUACAAAAACUUAAUGCUGCUACUAGAAAAAACCACUUUCCACUGCCUUUUAUUGAUCAGAUGUUUGAGAGACUUACUGGCCAUGCCUACUAUUGCUUUUUAGAUGGAUAUUCAGACUAUAAUCAAAUCCCUAUAGCACCAGAAGAUCAAGAGAACUACAUUCACAUGUCCUUAUAGAACAUUUGCUUAUAGAAGAAUGUCAUUCGGCUUAUGCAAUGCACUAACCACCUUUCAGCUUUGCAUGAUGGCUAUAUUUUCUGAUAUGGUGGAGAUAUUUAUUGAGGUGUUUAUGAAUGAUUUCUCAGUUUUUGGAUCUUCAUUUGAUCAUUGUUUGAAUUAUUUAGUUCUAGUUUUGCAGUGAUGCGAGGAGACCAACUUAGUUCUGAAUUGGGAAAAAUGUCACUUUAUGGUGCAAGUGAGCAUUGUACUGAGUCAUCGUAUUUCAGCUAAAGGAAUUGAAGUUGAUAGAGCGAAGAUCGAAGUCAUUGAAAAGUUGCCACCACUGACUUAUGUGAAAGUUGUAAGAAGUUUUCUUGGGCAUGUUAGGUUUUAUCGACGUUUUAUUAAAAAUUUUUCAAAGAUAACAAAACCCUUAUGCAACCUUUUACUCAAUGAUGUGCCUUUCAGUUUUACCGAUGAGUGUUUGCAAGCUUUUAACACUUUAAAAGAGAAACUGAUUUCAGCUCCAGUUAUUAUGACUCCAUAUUGGGAUCUACCUUUCGAGGUUAUGUGUGAUGUAAGUGAUUAUACUAUUGGAGUAGUUUUGGGACAACGACAUAAAAACAUGUUGCAUGUUAUUUACUAUGCAAGUUAAACUUUGGGAGACGCGCAAUUGAAUUAUACUACUACUGAGAAAGAGUUUUUGGCCGUUGUAUUUGCACUUGAAAAAUUCUGCUCAUAUUUGAUUUGCUCUAAGAUGAUAGUUUACACUGAUCAUUUAGCUCUCAAGUAUCUAUUCACAAAAACAUAUGCAAAACCAAGACUGAUCCGUUGGGUGCUCUUAAUACAAGAAUUUGAUUUAGAGAUUCGGGAUAGGAAAGGAUUUGAAAAUCUGGUGGCAGAUCACUUAUCUUGGUUAGAGUAUGAAGAGUGAGGGGAUAAUGUAAUGGUUUCAAUCACUAAAGAAUUUCUUGAUAAAAAGCUGUUGGCUCUUCAAACUUGUGACGCACCAUGGUAUGCAGAUUUUGUGAACUAUUUGGUGAGCAUCAUUGUUCCGUCUGAUUUAUCAUAUCAACAUAAGAAGAAAUUCCUCUCAGAUGUAAAAUAUUAUUUUUGGGAAGAUCCAUUCUUGUAUAAGUAUUGUUCAGACCAAAUCAUUCGACGAUGUGUCCUAGAAGAAGAGAUAAGAAAUAUUCUACAGUAUUGUCAUUCUCAUGAAGUUGGUGGACAUUUUGACGCAACCAAAACUGUGGCAAAAGUGCUUGAAUCAGGUUUUUAUUGGCCCACCUUAUUUAAAUAUGCUUAUACUUUUGUUGCUGCUUGUGACCGAUGUCAAAGAACUGGUAACAUUUCAAGGAAGAACGAAAUGCCACUAACUAAUAUUCUUAAAGUAGAAUUGUUUGAUGUCUGAGAAAUUGAUUUCAUCGGUCUGUUUCCAUCUUCCUUCAAGAAUAAAUAUAAUCUAGUAGUUGUUGAUUAUGUUUCUAAAUGGGUUGAAACUGUUACUUUGCCUUCUAAUGAUGCUCGGGUUGUUGUGAAUUUUAUGAAGAAAACUAUUUUCACACGGUUUGGCACUCCAAAAGCAAUUAUAAAUGAUAAUGGGAAACAUUUUUACAAUCAGCAAUUUGAAGCCUUCUUGAGCAAAUACGGAGUCACACAUAGAAUUGCCACCCCUUACCAACCACAAACUAGUGGCCAAGUUGAAGUUUAUAAUUGGGAAUUAAAAAGAAUUUUAGAGAAAACAGUAAAUGCAUCACGGAAAAAUUGAUAAAAAAAAACUAGAUGAUGCACUCUAGGCGUAUCAAACAACUUUCAAAACACAUGUUAGUAUGUCUCCUUAUCGUCUAGUAUUUGGAAAGGCAUGUCAUCUACCUGUUGAACUUGAGCAUAGGGCAUAUUGGGCUAUGAAGAUUUUGAACUUUGACAUGCAAGCAGCAUGAGAAAAGAGAUUGUUGCACCUUAAUGAAAUGGAUGAAUUUUGCAAUGCAGCUUAUGAGAAUGCUCGAAUCUAUAAAGCCCGCACUAAACAUUGGCAUGACAAAUAUAUACUCGGACAUGAAUUUCAGGUUGGCCAAAAGUUUUGCUGUAUAAUUCUCGACUUCGACUCUUCACAGGCAAGUUGCAAUCCCGUUGGUCUGGUCUUUUUACAAUAACACAAGUCUUUCCAUCUGGUGUGGUUGAAGUUUCUCAUGAUACAAAGGGCACAUUCAAAGUUAACAGUCAUCGAUUGAAGCCCUAUCUGGAUUAUGCAUUUGAUAAGCACAAGAUAGCUAUUGAGCUGUCUUGUCCUGAACGAUGACCAGAGACAGUCAAGCUAAUGGCUAUAAAUUAAGCGCUUCUUAGGAGGUAACCCAAGCUUUCUAAACUUUAUUAUUGUCUUUUUUUUUUAUCUUUCCUUAUUUCUUUUGUCUUUGCUUUUACUUAUUUUAUUUUGUUUAAGGAUUUUGUACAAGUUUGGGGGUCGAUGAACAUCAACUUUUCACAUACCUUUCAACAACUCAGCUACAACUUUACAUUUUCAAGUGCAAAACCGGGGGAGUUUCUCUUUUUCUUUUCUUUUUCUUUACAUUGAGGACAAUGUGUAUUUUAAGUUUGGGGGUGGGAAUAUUUGCUUUGCUUUUAAUUUUUUUUUAAAAAAAUAAAAAAAUUAAUGCCUAUGAUGAGUUUAUGAUUGAAAAUGAAAUAUGGUUCUUAGAAAGAGAUGAAUAUUGUCUUAGUUUAUACUUGAUUCUUGUGUUAGUUUUCGUCUUGAUUAUGAUUCUUUAAAUAUUUUGCGCACUUAUAUCGAUUCUUUCAAAAUUUUGACUUGAGAUUUGAGAUUGAUACAGUCUGAGUUAAGAAUUUUAGAUUGAGUAAAUGACUAUUUACCUUGAUUCUACUUUACUUAAGUUUAUCCAGGCACCAUAGUCAAAAAUAGCAAAUGCAAGUGAAGCUAUUUGAGAGAUUUGAGAGAGCUUUUACUUGAGUGUUCUAGUGAGGGUUUUGGGUGUUGAGAGUUUUUUCUAAUUUUGUAAAUUCUCAUUUGUUGGUAAAAUUAUUUUUCAGUCUUUGUCCGUGGACGUAGGCUUUAUGCUUAAUCACAUAAAUUAUUGUGUCAUAUUUUCUUUGCAUUAAUUUGUUAUAUUUAUAUUUUUCUAAAAGUUGCAGUCGCUAUAAUAUUAGGCAACACAUUGGACAAAUUGGUUGAGUCAUUUAAAAGAGGAUGUGUGACUCCGUUGGGAUAGUCAUAGAAAUAAUGAAGUAUGCACAAAAGUUCCAUAUAAUUUUUGUUUUGUAAUUCAAUAUUUUUCGUCUCGUGCAUUUUUUUCCUUUCUUAACUUUUGAGUAUGUAUAAACUAUUCGAGUAAAAAAUAACCUAUGUGAUUCUUUUUUGUUCUUUUGAAAAUAUAUGUUGAUCUUUUUUCUUUAAUUUGGAAUAUUAACAAUUGUUUGUCAAUCAAUGGCUUUCCUUUACUAUUCUUAAUAGGCUCAAAGGCUAAUUGCCAAAGGAUUUUUUUUUUCUUUUUAUAUGCUUUUGAGCUAGGGUUGGGUGUAGAGCUUAAUUAUAAUUUUUAACUCUCUAUCUCUAUAAGUUGAACUAGAACUAAUCAAAUAAAGAGGAUGAAAGUUACUCUUCAUGCCCGAGGAGGUCACGUAACUACAAAAAAAUUUAAUCUAAGUUGUAAAAAAGUACGUGAAUUUUCUGUCAACUAUUUUUUUCGUAGUCAUGCAAAUAUAAGGUAACGAUAAAUAGCAUGUGAUUGUCAUGUAAUUAAAAUGUAAAAUUAAUUAAUUUUUCUUAGCAUACUCUCCGUCGUCUAAGUUUAAUGUACUAAUGAGUAGAGAUAGACAAACUCAAUUCAACUCAACAAAUCCGAUUUAAUUCAAUUUAAACAAGGGUUAUUAUGAGUCAUUUUUUUAUAGUUUAUUUUUAAUAUCACAAAAAGAAAAAGAAAAAAAACUCUUUAUCUUCUCGUAUUCGUUGCAUUAAAUAUUUUGAAAUCACUUCCACCAAUAUUCCACCAAAUUAUUAGUAGAGAAUGACCUGUUAGCUCCUCAGCACUUAAACCUUUAGUGCAUGGGUUCAAGUCCUAACCAUUCGUGGAAGAAUAGAUAUAAAAAUUAAUAAUCUGGAUAGAUUUUUUAUUUUAAAUAUCAGUACAAUUCUAAUUGUGAUAUAUAUAUAUAUGUUCUCUUUUUGUCCUUUGUGUGAAUAAAAAAUAUUAUUGUUUCACUCGAUUAAAAUAAUCAGAAACAAACAAUAGCAUAAUCGGAACAAAUAGCAUAUAACACAAGAAAGUAAUCCAAAUAAUUAUGUCAGUGGUAUUGUACAAAUAAAUGUGACUUACUUAAACAAAGUAUUAACGCUUACACGUCAAAAUAAGUACUACCGAUAUUUGAAGCAGAAAUUUGAAAAGAAUGAAACAAAAGCCUUGAGACACCCAUUAUUAUGUUGGUAAUUUCUAGUUAAUGAUGCAUGGAGUUACAAACUCAGAUUGCUGAUCCAGAUAACUGGAUCCUUAUCAACGGAACAUAAAUAAAAUGUCGCCUGUAUACAUCAAGCAUCUACGUACAUUUAAUUGGGAGAAUGACGGUCUGGUACAAUUUUUUCAGUAGAGCUUGUUCGCCUAAAGGGCUACACAUAAUGUAAUUUUGAUGAUAACAAACAUGUGUUUUAAGUGAUUUAAUAAAUAUUGUAUUUCACAUUUUCACUAGUUUUUUAAGGAUAAUAUUUAUGCAAAUGAAUUAAGUGAAAUUAAGUUGAAGACACUCAACGGAUACCGGCGAAAUCAAGAAUAAAGUUUAGAGCUCAACGGAUAAAUUAUUGCGAUAAAUUCUUGUAAAACCGAUAUGAUUUAAUUGAUGCAUGAUUUAACAUUUGAGAAGCUCAAGAGAUUCAUUUAAAUAAUUACUUUUUAUAAACUAAAAUAUUUUAUUUUUAUAAGGUAGAGUAUUUUGUGGAUUUGAGUAAUUUGGACUUAAAUGAAAAGUUUUGUAAUCUUUGAAUUUAAAAAGUAUUAUUUUGAAUUUCGGAGUUGGACUUUUUUACAAACAUUUGAAAUAUUUUAAGCCAUACUAUAAUUUAUGAAAGUUUGAGGAGUCAAAUAUAAUCCAAACAUUUGAAAUCUAAAAUUGGACAGAGAGUGAGCGGCUAACUGCCUGAGGCUAGGGGCUUGCCGCCCGAGGAAAAUCUCAUAUUUUCAAAUUUUGGACUAAAGUGAAAGAUUUUGAAAACUUUAAAAAAUAUGAGUAUUAUGUUAAAUUUUGAAAAGGACUUCUUUAAAAAAUACUAUUAUAUUUGUGGCUAUAUCAUAAUUUUAAAAAGUCUUAGGAAUGACAAGCAUUAUUUAGAAAUUCUGAAAUUGGACCUAUUUGUAAAGUUUUAUAACGUUUUGAGCUAUAGUAUAAUUAUAGAAAGUUUUAGGCCAAAAUAUAAUUUUGAUUAACAUUGUUACUGUAGUAAAAUUCAAAUUUAACAAUAAUAUCACUGUUAUGAGUGGCUAGCCGAAUAAAUCAAGCGGCUAACCGCUUGAUUGCGGGAAUUUGCCUAUAACGGCUAAUUUUUGAGCCUUAACUAUAAAAACUCAACUUCAACUUUAUUUUAAGGACUAAUACAACCAUAAACAAGAUCAUAUAACACAUAUUGAGCUUCGAUUUCGCAAAUCAUCAUUUAUUGAAUCAUUAUUGUGCUAUUAUUUGCAUAUCCACUCUUAAAGAGAGUUUUUGUUGUAAUUUUCAUUUAUUAUCAAAUUGUGAGUGUACAAAUGUGAGAAACACUUGGAGUGAAGAGAUUGAGGAGAUGAUCUCUUGAUUGUAAAGGUUCAUUGACACCUUAAAAGUCAAUUGUAAGAACUUGAAGUCUUGGGAGGCUUGAAUACUGAAAUCCUCAAGUUUGGUUGGUUUGGAGGCGUGGACGUAGGCGGGGAUUGCUGAACCACGUAAAAAUCCUUGUGUUUGUUUUCUCUUCCCUUACUCUUUUAUUAUUGUGCUAUAUUGAAUUUAUUAUUUUUGCAUUUGAUUAAGACAAUAGAUUAAAUUGUUGUGCGAAUUGUUUGGCAUAAAAUUUAAAAUCUCAAUUCACCCCCCCUCUUGAGUUGCAUAACUUGCAUUUCAAAGCUUUUACAAGUAAAGUUUUUACGAGUAGAACUUUUGAUAAAAAGUUGUUGAGUAUUUAGUUGUCAAUUAAAAAAACUUUUUUGACUUAAUCUACAUCAAGCUAAAUAAUUUUGCUUAAUUAAUUUGUGUAGUAAACCACUACUGUUAUAGAAAAUUAAAUAAAAAAGUUUAUAAAUGUCAUAUAAUGAAUAUAAAAUUUAUAGUUAAAACAAUUCAAUUGAACUUAUUUCACUUGUUUUUAGUACAAAUUCUUGUUUCCAAUUGAUGAGCGAUUUUUCUUUGUUUAACUAAAACAAAUGAAUAAAUUAUUUUUUAUUAAAAUUUUGUAGAACCAGGUAGUUUUUUUUAUUAAUUUACUUGUUUUCACAUUUUAUUUACUAGUUUUAUAUAUAAUUUAUAAAAUUUAUGUUCAUCACAGCAUUUUAGAAAUUUUCAAUCGGAUGACAUAGCAUUUCAUGACGGUCGCGAUGUUUUCCUUAUGUACAAUUUAUAAUGGCAAUAACAUGUACUUGCCGUAUAUGAAUGGUCAUAAUGACAUAUUGAUUUUAGCUCAUAGUGGUUCCAUUGUCUUAAUUGAGAAAAUCUUCUACAUAAUCAUCAAAAUUCUUGAGAAUUAUCUUGUGACUUUUAUAAUAAGUAACUGCUCAUUUAUUUAACCAUACGAGUUUAAAUUAUUGGAGAAGAUAGCAACUAAAAAUUAAUAUGGGCUUUGCCAACACCAAUUGCUUUGUGUAGUCUUCACGAUAUAAUAAUCAAACUACGUGCAUUUUUUCCCUCUCCCGUUCCCUCUUUUUGACUCUUCGACAUUCGUGAAAAAUAACAACGCCGGUAUUCACACAAAGGGGAGCACAAAACUUUGCACAAAAUGGUGCGUUUUGUGCAAAGUAUAAAAUGUCUCUACUGGUGCAAUGAGCACCUCACAUACACAACAAACGCGCCCAAAGUUUACGCGUCUGACUCUUUUCUUUUUCCCUCAUUACACUGCUUUUCUUUUCUCCUUCAUCGUAACUCUUUCUCUCUUGUCUCCAAGCUGCAAGCUGCUGCCAUAAGCUCCACCGCAGCAGCCGUUUUCUCCCGUCUCCACGCAGUUGCCUUAUUCCCAACAGUACAACAACAAGUCUCUUUGCUCUCAUACCCUCACAUACACAACUGGCUCAUCUAAUGAAUCGAUCUGUUAACAUCAGUUGGGUUUUGAAGGUGGGUUAUGAAGAAGUGAUUCAAGGCGAUCAAACUUCACUCCAACUUCCAAAAGCUUGAAUCUAGCAAUAAUGUCAUCACUGAGCCUUUGUUGUUGUUGUUCUCGGCUUUUGUUCUUAACUUUGCCAUCUAUCUCUUCUGUUUGGGAGAGAUACUGUUUGGGAUAAAUAUGUCGACGAGACCAGGAAUGACGAGCAGAUAUCGGAUGGCAGAGUUCUGCGAACCGGUGUGUUUCGUGAAAGCCUGGUGCGCGGAAGAACAGGAGCAGAAAUAUCCUGUUCGUCCACGAUGUUGUCAUCCGCGAGGCCAAUUUCCUAUAAGAGGCAUACGGCCAUUCCGGCUAGAGGUCGAUAGGCGAGGAGACCCGGUCGACAGCAGUUGGCAAGACAUGCUCUCCAGCCCGAGAAUCUAGGCACGACAGCCACGCUUUCCCCUGAACCGUGGCGUAACACGCAAGAUCUCACAGAACCACGACAGCCACGCUUUCCCCUGAACCGUGGCGUAACACGCAAGAUCCCACAGAACCACGACAGCCGCGCUUUCCCCUGAACCGUGGCGUAACACGCAAGAUCACACAGAACCCCGACAGCCACGCUUUCCCCUGAACCAUGGCGUAACACGCAAGAUCCCACGUUUGCCCAUAACGCUGCAGUCAGAGCCCCAGACCGUCUCGAGAAAAGCGAAAAACGGGGAUUCAGAGGAAGCCUAUAAAAAGGUAGCCAACGAAGGUAAAAGGGUUGGCAUUUUUGAGAUAAAAGAAAAAAACCACGAAAAAAGCCACAAGACCAGUGGCAAGCGUUCCCCGAACCUUGAUAUCUGACUUGAUCGUCGGAGGGUUUGCGCCGGGAGAACAACCGGCGUACUCUGACUUGUCUGUGUGUGCAGGGAUAUCUGGAGAAGAAGCAUUACUAGGAGACCUCCUGGUCGUGGGGAAGUUGAUCGAGCAGAGAUCCUGGUCGUAUAACGAGGAGAACUGGAAUCUCGCAUCAACAUUUUGGCGCCGUCUGUGGGGAUCCAGAGCAAAAAGCUUCUGUUGAUAGCAAGAAGAGGGGUGAAGUAAGCGAAAAGCAAUGGAGACAGGAGGAAGUAGUGCAUAAGGGGGUGAUAUGAGGCUUAACGAUUCCAUGACGCUGAGGGAGAUAGUCAGCGAAGCACGGGAAAAAGUCAUGUUCGACCGGAUGGAACGGAUGGAAAAGCAGAUGGAGACCUUGACAACCAUCCUGCAUGAGCUGCGGAGCGAGCGAAGGGUAACCCAAGAGGGAAGGGUGAGAGGUGGUGGAGUGGCACCAGGUCCCGAUAGUGCGGGGAGAAGUCAAACCACAGGGAGACACGGUGGUGAGAGGGGUAACGUACCUCUACGGGGAGAAUUUCAUAGAGAAAGAGAGCGGUCCCCGGCAAGACAGACUUGUGAACCGGACGACGGGGUGGUGAAUGCAGAGGAAACAGAGUUGAUGCAACACUUGCAAGAUGUAGAGCAAGAGCGGGAUCAAGUUGCAGCACGUGACCCUGGUCGUGCAGGGCAGCUGGAGGAGGAAGUGCGCAGACUAGCGCAGAUAAUUGACGACAUGCAAGGGAGGAACAGAGCCCCUGGUUGGAGGAUAAUGCUGGACGGAGAAUCGCCGCUCGCAGCGGAGAUCAUGAGGGCAGUUAUUCCGAGAGAUUUCCGCCUCCCCGACCUCAGAUACUCGGGAAGAACUGAUCCGCUGAUGCACAUAGAGCGCUUCAACGACAUAACUGGGGUACAAGGACUAUCUCAACCCCAAAGGUGCAGGGUGUUCCCACUAUCCCUCGAGGGACGUGCACGAGAAUGGUACAGGAAACUUCUUCGGGGCAGCAUUAAAACCUUCGAGCAGAUGUGCCAGGAAUUCGCAGAGCAGUUCAGUGGGGCGAUGUCACCGGAAGAUGACAUGAUGGAGCUGAAAAGCAUGAAACAGGGGGAGCAAGAAACCCUUCGGGAAUUCAUCAAGAGGUUUCAUCGGGCUGUCCUCGACUUGGGAGCCUUCAACCACCCUCAGGCGUUAAGGGGAUUGAAAGAAGGGGUGAAGAUAGGAAGGCUGUGGUACAAUUUGAGAAGCCCAGCUAUUCAAACGUAUGCGGCCGCAUACGAGCAGGCUAAAAGAGACAUCGAGAUUGAAGAGGAGAAGGCUGCACGGAUCAAGACAGACCAGUUAGAAGGGUUGGGGAGGAAAGAGAAGAAAGCAUUACCAGGGAAUGGGCCGAUCAGGAGAAGGGACCACCAGGCCUCCGGUAGUGGAGCAGGAGGUAGGGUCACCGCUUACCAGCCUCAUCAGAGGCCACCACAGUAUCAGCACAGCAGGGCGCAACCUCCUCGUCCCCCAGCUAGGGAACCUUGCACAAGAAAUGAUCCGGCAUCUGGUGGUCUUCAUCAACAUUCCCACGGUGGCAGGACGAGCAGACCAGAAGUACUUCCACCGCCCCCAACUCAGAGCGGGGCAAACAGAGAAAGAGCAGUGCAUCUGAUCGACCAGAACCAGGACUAUGGGCGGUACACUCCCUUGAAGAUGUCCCUGGAUGAGGUAUACGAGGCCAUAAAGGAUCGAGGGCUGCUGCACCCCCCUACACCAAUAACAAAGCUACCCAACAGGAGGGAUAGAGGACGUUAUUGUAAGUUCCAUGGCACCCAUGGCCAUACCACAACAGAGUGUAGAGAUCUCAAGACCCAUGGCCAUACCACACCAAUAACAAAGCUACCCAACAUUAUGGAUGGGACUUUUCCGAUGGUGGCCACGACAGAUGAAGGGGAGCAGAGCGAUAGAAUCUUGAGGCGCGAGCAGCCCGCAGUAAGAGUGAUAGCCGGGGGCCCAACGUUGGCCGGAGAUUCAAACAGAUCGAGAAAAAAUUAUGCUAGGUACGUCAUGACCAGUAAAGAGGUACUCCUCAACACCCCAGCAGCCAAACGAGCAAGGGUCAGGCAAGUGCCAAUCAUGUGGACGGAUGAGGAUGAGGAAGGGAUUCUAUACCCCCACGAGGAUGCCUUAGUCAUCAGGGCUACGGUCGCUAGCAAGAAGUUUGACCGGAUACUGGUUUAUACAGGGAGCUCAGUUGAUGUGUUAUUUAAGUCAACCCUGGAAGAGAUGGGAAUAGCCGACUGAAAGUUGGAAUACACCAACACCUCCUUGAAGGGGUUCGGAGGAGGGAAGCUGGUUCCUCUGGGCGUGGUCGAACUGCCCAUCACAAUUGGGAGCCCCCCGACAGAAAGAACAGUGAUACUGGACUUUGUCGUAGUGGAUGAGGAAGGUCCUUACCAGAUGAUCCUAGGUCGGCCAUUUUUAAGGAUAAGUAAAGCGGUGUUGUCCAACCAUUAUCUGGCUCUGAAGUACCGGGUGAAUGGGGUAGUAGGAGUGGUACGAGGAGACCAGAGGAUCGCAAGAAGCUGCUACUCCUCGGCAGCAAGGGAGGCAAUGCAGAUAACAUCCCUCGAUACCCGAGUGGAAAACAAGACUGGCAGACAAGAACCUGUAGAGGAUCUGGAAACAGUGAGCAUGGAACCAGAGAACCCGGGAAAGACGAUCAGAAUCGGGUCGAGACUUAAGAGAGAGCAAAAGCAGGAGUUGGUGAAAUGCUUACAGGCUCAUGCUGAUGUGUUUGCCUGGACACAUGAAGACAUGCCGGGGAUUGACCCUGAGGUAGCGUGUCAUAAGCUGGCAAUAAAGAAAGGUGCUCGGGCAGUAAGGCAGAAGAGGAGGUGCUUCAACCAGGAGAGGUAUGAGGCUGUAAAUGACGAGGUGGAGAAGCUCUUGAGAGCAGGGUUCAUUCGGGAAGUCAGUUACCCAGAAUGGAUAUCAAACGUGGUGCUGGUAAAGAAGGCAAACGGCAAGUGGAGGAUGUGUGUGGAUUUCACAGACCUCAACAAGGCGUGCCCAAAAGACAGCUUCCCUUUACCAAGGAUCGACCAGCUAGUAGAUUCAACGGCUGGACAUGGUCUGCUUAGCUUCAUGGACGCAUUCUCGGGAUACAACCAGAUCCCCAUGUACGAGCAGGAUGAGGAGAGCACGGCUUUCAUCACUAACCAAGGUUUGUUCUGUUACAGGGUGAUGCCAUUCGGUCUCAAGAAUGCUGGGGCCACCUAUCAAAGGCUGGUGAACAAAGUCUUUAAGCCGUUGAUCGGGAAAACCAUGGAGGUGUACGUGGAUGACAUGAUUACCAAGUCCAAAAUCCCGAAGGAACACGUCAGACACCUCGAGGAGACAUUCGAGCUUCUGAGGAAGUAUAAGAUGAAGCUCAACCCGGAGAAGUGUGCUUUUGGGGUCGAGUCAGGGAAAUUCCUGGGAUUCAUGGUGAGCCAUAGGGGGAUUGAAGCAAAUCCCGAGAAAAUCCAGGCGAUUGUGCAAAUGACGUCUCCUCGUAACCUGAAGGAGAUGCAGAGCCUCACGGGGAGGUUGGCGGCGUUGAGCAGAUUCAUAUCCAAGGCUACAGAUAAGUGUCAGCCAUUCUUUCAAGUGAUAAGAAGGGGAAAGAAAACAGAAUGGACCCCAGAAUGCGAGGAAGCCUUCCGAAACUUGAAGCAAUACUUACAGCAAGCUCCGCUGCUGUCCACACCGAGGGAUGGGGACAAGUUGUAUCUGUAUUUGGCGGUAUCGGAUCGGGCCGCCAGUUCUGUUCUGGUGAGAGAGGAAUAAGGAGUUCAGUAUCCGAUAUACUACACCAGCAAGGCCCUGCUCGACGCUGAGACCAGAUACCCACCGUUGGAGAAAUGGGCGCUUGCCCUUGUGGUUGCUGCUCGGAAGUUGAGGCCAUAUUUUCAAGCCUUCCCGGUCUCAGUAAUAACAAACCAGCCAUUGCGUCAAACUCUGCACAAGCCAGAUGCUUCUGGUCGGCUCGUCAAGUGGGCUGUGGAGCUGAGCGAGUUCGACAUAGACUAUAAACCCCGCGCAGCGAUAAAGGCCCAGGCAAUGGCCGAUUUCGUAGCUGAAUUCACAGAGCCCGAAGUAUGCUUAGAUCAACAAGAUGCAGCUAUAGGCGAUGACGAAACUCAAGUAUGGCAGAUAUCUGUGGAUGGGUCAUCAGGGGAGCGGGGUUCAGGAGCAGGGAUUGUCCUAGAAGGCCCAGAGGGGGAGGAGAUCUCUUAUGCUGUAAAGUUGGAAUUUGCAGCCACAAAUAACCAGGCAGAGUAUGAAGCCUUGAUAGCAGGUCUGGAAUUGGCUAAGGCUGUGAAAGCAGACAGAGUUAAGAUCAGAACCGAUUCCCAGCUGGUUGCGAAUCAUGUCAGUGAAAGAUUCCAACCAAGAGAGGAGAAGAUGGAACAGUACCUGAAGAUAGUCAGACAGAUGAUGGGGAAGUUCGAGGCAGUGGAGGUGAUACAAAUCCCCAGGGAGCAGAAUAGUCGAGCAGACAUUUUGGCGAGGAUGGCAGCAGUAGCCGACCCAAAAAUGCCAAAGUCGGUCCCUCUGGAGGUGAAGUCCAGCCCAAGUAUCGAGCAGAAUUUGGGGGUGUUACGGAUAGAACAAAAAUGCUCGUGGAGGGACCCGAUAGUUUCAUACCUUAGGGACGGGGUAUUACCACCAGAUAAGCUGCGAGCUCGGAAGAUUAGAGCCCAAGCCUCGAGAUACACGAUGAUCGAUGGGGUACUGUAUCGGCGAGGAUAUACACUACCGUUCCUUCGGUGUUUGGAUGAGGACGACGCGGAUUACGUGCUGAGAGAAGUACAUGAAGGAAUUUGCGGAAAUCAUUCUGGCGGGAGGUCCCUGGCCCACAAGGUUCUAAGGCAGGGAUAUUUCUGGCCGACAAUGCACCAGGAUGCGCAAAAGAAGACCAGGAGUUGUGCAAGCUGCCAGAGUUUUGCAAAUUUCUCCAACCAACCACCAGAGAAGCUCACCUCCAUGGCCUCCCCUUGGCCAUUUGCUCAAUGGGGAAUUGAUCUGAUCGGCCCACUGCCAAAAGGACGAGGAGCAGCAACGCAUGCAAUAGUUGCUAUAGAUUACUUCACGAAGUGGAUAGAGGUGGAAGCCCUUAGCAAGAUCACAGAGAAGAAAACAACAGACUUCGUGUGGAGAAACCUGGUCUGUCGAUACGGGAUCCCUUAUGCCUUGGUAACGGAUAAUGGCAGGCAGUUCGAUAAUCACAGCUUCAGGGAUUUCUGCCAGAACCUCGGGAUAGAGCUGAAGUAUUGCUCGCCUGCUCACCCUCAAUCGAACGGACAAGUAGAAGCAGCCAACAAGACCAUCAAGAGGCUUCUGAAAACCAGGCUCGGAGCAAAAAAGGGUGCUUGGGUUGACGAGCUGUCAGGUGUGCUAUGGGCAUACAGAACAACCCACAAAACCGCAACUGGGGAGACACCGUUCGCUUUGGCUUUCGGACAUGAAGCGGUCGUGCCGGCUGAGAUAGGAACGACCACACACCGGACAGGUCAUUUCAAUGAGCAGGAGAACGACGAGCAGAUAUGUUUGAAUCUUGAUCUGCUAACGGAAAGGAGGGGGCAAGCAGCCGAGCGAUCAGUCACUUACCAACAAAGGGCUGCUCGGUAUUAUAACCAGAAGGUGAACAUACGGCAAUUCAGGGUCGGAGACUGGGUACUGAGAAGAGUGAAUCAGAGCACCAAAGAUUCGACUCAAGGAGUGCUGGGACCGAAUUGGGAAGGGCCAUAUAGAGUCAAGUAGAUAGCGGGACCCGGAGCUUACAAGCUGGUCCGCGCGGACGGCCACGAGGUGAAACGCCCAUGGAACGCAGCACACCUCCGGAAAUACUUCCAGUAAGACUUGCUCACGUUUGAAAGCUAUUUUCGCUCAUGUUCAUUAUCGUUUAUCUUUCACGCUUUAUGUCCGAACAAUUUCAUGUAAGUCAAAUCCUGCCAUUAAUGGAACGUCGCGGAAUUUCAUUCGCUCGAAACCGAGAAAAACCCAAGGCAUGCAAAGGCUCGCCAAGUCUCAAAGCCUAUCUUAUGGCGAGACAGAAGCCAAGCAUGCCAGGAUCUGCUCGACCACGAGAAGACGAGCAGACUCCCAAAACAUUCGAAGAAAUUCCCAAGGCAUGCAAAGGCUCGCCAAGUCUCAAAGCCUAUCUUAUGGCGAGACAGAAGCCAAGCAUGCCAGGAUCUGCUCGACCACGAGAAGGCGAGCAGACUCCCAAAACAUUCGAAGAAAUUCCCAAGGCAUGCAAAGGCUCGCCAAGUUUCAAAGCCUAUCUUAUGGCGAGACAGAAGCCAAGCGUGCCAGGAUCUGCUCGACCACGAGAAGGCGAGCAGACUCCCAAAACAUUCGAAGAAAUUCCCAAGGCAUGCAAAGGCUCGCCAAGUCUCAAAGCCUAUCUUAUGGCGAGACAGAAGCCAAGCAUGCCAGGAUCUGCUCAACCACGAGAAGGCGAGCAGACUCCCAAAACAUUCGAAGAAAUUCCCAAGGCAUGCAAAGGCUCGCCAAGUCUCAAAGCCUAUCUUAUGGCGAGACAGAAGCCAAGCAUGCCAGGAUCUGCUCGACCACGAGAAGGCGAGCAGACUCCCAAAACAUUCGAAGAAAUUCCCAAGGCAUGCAAAGGCUCGCCAAGUCUCAAAGCCUAUCUUAUGGCGAGACAGAAGCCAAGCAUGCCAGGAUCUGCUCGACCACGAGAAGGCGAGUAGACUCCCAAAACAUUCGAAGAAAUUCCCAAGGCAUGCAAAGGCUCGCCAAGUCUCAAAGCCUAUCUUAUGGCGAGACAGAAGCCAAGCAUGCCAGGAUCUGCUCGACCACGAGAAGGCGAGCAGACUCCCAAAACAUUCGAAGAAAUUCCCAAGGCAUGCAAAGGCUCGCCAAGUCUCAAAGCCUACCUUAUGGCGAGACAGAAGCCAAGCGUGCCAGGAUCUGCUCGACCACGAGAAGGCGAGCAGACUCCCAAAACAUUCGAAGAAAUUCCCAAGGCAUGCAAAGGCUCGCCAAGUCUCAAAGCCUGUCUUAUGGCGAGACCGAAGCCAAGCGUGCCAGGAUCUGCUCGACCACGCGAAGGCAAACCGAAUCCCAGGCAUUGGAAAAUCUUCAAAGGCAUGCGGCCAAACCCUGAGCCAAGCCGGAACUUGCUCGUCUAGACGAAGACAAGCAGAUUCUCAAGCGAAAAUUAAUUCGUAAUUACAACACAAGAAAGUAAUCAAAAAAUAUUUUUAUUAAUUUGUUAAUAAUUAACAGAGGGGAUAAUCUUCAUAAACAUUGUCCACUACAAUAAAAGAAAUAUAUCAAAAAGACGGCAGAUCAGUAAGCCGAGCAGCAUCGGUUGGCUGAACCUCCUCAGGUGCGGGGGGGGUAUCGCCAGUUGCGUCCGGGGGGGUGCUCGCCUCGCCAACUUCAGCAGGGACUGCACGAAGAGGUGAGUUUUCCUCCUCAAUCACGAUCGGCUCUACCCCCUCGGCAUCUUCCUUGGCCGCCUCCUCAUCCAUAUGCCGAGCGACACCAGCUGCAAGGUCAUCCACCUUCAGGUCAGGGUGUUGCUUCCCGAGGACGGCCAUGAUGCAACGAUAGGAAUGCCGAAGUCCCUGGUCGUACUGGUUGUCGGCCUCCCUCUCCAAGUUCUCGACCUGAGCCCGGUGGGAGUCACGGAGAGAUUCGAGCUGAGCCUCAUACAUAGCCUUCUGCCUUUGCAGAUCCUCCUUGACCUUGGUAAGCUCCUCCUCGAGGGUAAUGGCUUUUGCUUGAGCAAGUGAUUCUUGCUCUAUCAGCUUCAGAUUCUCGAGAUUCAGCUCCGCUGCUUUCUUCUCGGCAACGUCAGCUCUGCUCGUCGCCGAUUGAAUAUCCUCCUUCAUCUUCCGGUCGUAGCGGCCAACCUUAGCCUUGUAAUAGGUGGUCAUGCAGCUGAGGUGGAAAGCGCUAUGCUGCAUGGCCCCCACCAGCUCACCCAAGGUGCGGCCGUCAAAGUCCUCCAGGUCCUUAUUGCUCACGGAUUUAGUAAACUCAUUGAGGUAAGGGACCAGUUGUUCUGCUCGGCUGUCAGGUAAGCGAGAUCGAGGCCCGACAGGAGGAGAAGAGGUAGCAGGAUCUGUGGCUACUCCACUAGCUUCCCCGACUUUUACAGGAGCCGGAGGUAAAAUCUUCAAGGGUGGGGCCUGCUGCACGAUGUUGGCCCGCUUUGCGGUAGGGGCAUCCUUACUCUCGUCCCUCUUCGUGGUUGGAGGUUGUUGUGCAAAUUUUAAUGUACUCGCAAGCGCACGAAUCUAUUGUAGUAUAGAUCUAUGGUGACGAGUGUCGAUCCCACGAGGAGGUGGAUUUUAAUUGUGUAGAAUUAAUUUUGUAAAUGGGUUGUUGGAUUUGUGGUGGAAAUGAUUUGGUAUAUGCUAAAACUUAAAUUAAAAUGGCGAGAAUAAAUUCUAAAAUUGGAAUUGCAAUGGCGAGAAUAAAUUGAAGAUAAUUCUAUUGAAAUGACGUACUUGGGUAUCUGGAUCCGUAUCAACAUGCAUUAUGGGCUAAAUAAUCCGUAUUAAUGCCAAUUAAAUCAUGAGGGGGGAAUCCACACCUCAUGAACCACGCUCUAAUCAAUAUGGUGCUAAGGGCUUAUCGUGCCAAAUAAUAAUAACCUUAUACUAGAGAGCCGGUGUAACCAAGGCGGUAUCUAGACAAGACUAUUAUUAUUUGUCGACGAGAAGUCAAAACAUCCACAAAAAUUAGAGGGGAAGAGAAAAUAAAUUUACCAAAUUAAGCCCAUGACACAUAUUGAGACUUCACCUUCAACCCAAGCUUGAAAGAAAAUUAGCCACUCAUAAUUGAACUAGGGGCAAAAUGGGAAUUUAUUAAAAUACAUAGAAAAUACAAGAUGGAGAGAGAAUUACAGAAAAUGGAUCCCAAAAAUGGAUUCAGAGAUAUCAAAUUAGGGGGGGGAGGCCCCCUUUUUAUAGAUACAUGGAGUAAAUCAUGGCCAUCGGAUUAAAAACAGUUUGGACGCUCAGGAUUGCGCCACGUCAUCAGUCAACAGUCCACGUUUGACCACGCGGAUGAACAGUAACACGGUUUGACCCGACUUUGAACAGUAACGCGGUUUGACCCGGAUGAACAGUAACGCGGUUUGGUUGAAAAUAAUCCUGUGUGAUGCAUGCACCGUACGCGAGAUUUUUCGUCCACUGAUAUGCUGCCACGUCACCAUCAACAGUACAUAAGAAUUUUAGUCCAACAGGAUCGUGACACCUCAUCAGUCAAUGCCACAUCAUCGGUCAAUGCCACGUCAUCAUCCGUCUAUGUGAACAGUGUCGUGAACAGUAACGUAUACAGUACCGUACACAUGAAUAGUACCGUACAUGUGAAUAGUGCUAUUUUUCCUUUUAUGCUCCUCCUAAGGUUUUCGACCGUCCUGAGUUCAAAAGUGAUGUCCGUUUUGCCGUCUGAUCUCUCCUUUAUUGUGAAAUGACUAUAAUGCCCCUAAAAUACAUAAAAUACUUAAUUAAAAUAAAACACAUGUAAUUAAAUCACAAGAAGGUUAAAUAUAUAAAAGUAAGGGUUGUUAGUAAGACUUAAAAUGUAAAAAGACGGUUUUCUCCUUUAUAAAUAUGCAUUUUCUAAUACUCAACACACCCCCCAACCAGCUUAUUGCUAGUCCCUAGCAAAUAAAGCGAAAACAAAAUUCAAAUUCAAAAUAAUUUUUUUUUGUUUUAAUAGAAACACUCGUAUUUAUUCCAUCAGAUUAAUGAUAACACUCAAAUAAAAGUAUAAGCAUUGUCUCCAGUCUAAAGCAACAUCACACCCACAUCAACCAUCCACAUGAAUUAGCCCAGUAGACUUUGUUUUAGCUACUCUCAAGAAUGACAUGUCAAACCCCAAAAUCUCACUGGAAGUAGUGACACUCUCACAAAUAAAUUAAUCCCAAUAAAAAUAGUCACUCCAAUGAAUGAUAAUUGAGAGAGAAAAUAAUAAAGAAGUGAUAUCACAUGCUCUCACCAAGAUGAAAUAAAUAUGCCCUCAGCUUAGAAAUAAUACGAUCUCAAGUCAAAUAAAAUGUUAGUCAACCCACUUUAUUUAUCUUUUUUUUUUUUUUUAAUUAUGCAUCACUACAUCUUUUUAGCCCAUAUAACUAGCUUCUACUUCAAACUAUAGUUCCCUAAAAUCAAGAAGGACUUUUAUUAGGAUGAAACGUAGGCUAGGGACAUGGCUAACAAAGAAGGAAAAUAAGGAAAAUAAAGUGUAUGUUUGAGAAAAAAUGCAGAGAAAUUUUUUUUUUUUUUUUUUGGAAGUUACAAGGUGGAUUUCACCUAUUUUUAUUCUUUUGAAACAACAACUUUUGUUUUUGUUUUUGUUUUUGUUUUUUUUUUGUUUUUUUUUUUGGCAUAACUUCACUGAACAACAUAAUUAUUUACAUUUUCUCAAACAUAAAUAGGUGAUGGAACUUAUAAGACAUCGGGUAAUACUCCAAAUCGGAGUGGGUCAAGAUGAUAAGUUGACAAAGAAAAUGUUUUUUUUUUUUUAAAGGCUCAAAAGGGUUAACUAUGGAUAUUUAAUAAAAGGGAUGGCUAGAAAGGCUCAAACGGAUCAAAGAUGGCCUUUCCAUCGUCUUUUAGGGCUCUGAAUAACCUUCCAUAUCUACUAGUUAGAUGGGCCUCCAAAUGUAGCAACACACAUUUUUUUUCUUUUUUUUCUUUUUUUUUUUACCAUUUUUUUUAAAGGGUUAACUCAAAAGAAAUGUAGAGAUCGUGUAUAAAAUAAUAAACUGCUAAGCUGUAUAGAGAAUGGGCAAAAGGGUUACUCUCCAAGAAAAUGAUAGGCUCAACAACUCACUUGGCACUUAUUUAUGACAUGUUCAUUCCUUCAAGCAACUCAUAUUUGUCUCCGACAUCAACAUGUAAAGUAGCAAACAUAGCGUAACAUCACUUAAGACCAAAGAUAAUACAAAUAAUAAAAUUUGAAAUUAAUCAUGUCAUCCAAUGUUAAAACAAAUAACACAAAUUUUUUUUUAACAACAUUCUACCCCCCAACCUAUUCUAAACAUGAAAGAAAAAUAUGCAUGCAGAAAUGUGAAAAUGAUGUAGAAAAAUUUAUUAGAAAAAGAAAUUUUUUUUUUUUUAACUAAGAAGAUGCGUUUCUAGAGGCACGACACUCCAUAUUCAGCCAUCUUCGACUCAAAAAUUGGAAAAUAUAUAUUUAUAAAGGAGAAAGAGGAAGAAAACAAUUUUUUUUUUUUUUAAAACGAUGAAGAUGCGUUUCUAGAGUAACUACACUCCAUAUUCAGCCAUCUUCAACACAAAACGUUAGCAACAGUUAGUUUCUACAACAAAAAAAAAUAGUAAAAACUUAACCAAGAUUCCACAAUUGUCGACUAUUCCCUCCCCCCAACCAGAACGAAACAUUGUCCUCAAUGUUUUAAAGGAAAGAAGUAGAGUUUAGAAGACAUCACCUGGGUGGUGCAACACAGAAGAAAAUAUUUACAGGCGGAGAGUUAAAUCUAAUUUGUACUUCUUACUGCGGCUACUAUUACCAUCAUUAUUUGGUCGCUCCAACACAAAGGUCCAGGGGUCUGGCUCCGGUUUAUAAGCUUGUAACAUAUCAAGUAGCUCAUUAGCAGUGUGAGCACAAAUAAAAAGUUUUUUCACAUUAGAAGGAAUGAAGUAGUUUUUUAUUGCAUGGUUAAGAAAUGCGAUAAAGCCAUCAUAAAAGUUAUUGACAUUUAACAAACCGAUGGGUUUCUGGUGGAUGUGCAGAUGGGCCCAAGAUGCUAGUGUCAUAAGUGCCUCUAGUGUUGCAAGAUCUCCUGGAAGGAAAACAAAAGCAUCAGCAUAAUUAAGCAUUUCAGUUAUUCUUUCUUGCAUACCUGAGACGACUAACUCUUCUCCAGUUGAUGAAUCAGACGAACUGCCCAAUGGUUUUAGGACUCUUGGGAUGAUGCCUAACACUUGACUUCCUCUGAUAAAAGCUGCUUCUGAGACCAUUUUUGAUAACCCUCGAUUACCUCCUCCAUACACCAAGUGUAAAUUUCUCGCUGCUAUGCUUCGACCAAGAUCUAUGGCUGCCUCAACGAACUCUUUAUGUUUGCCAUAGGUAAAUCCAGAAAGCACACAAAUGUUCUUGAAUUGUCUAUUGGGAGUAGCUGCCAUUGGAAUAUUUCUCAAAAACAAUUUGUGAGUGUUUGACAAAAGAAAUCACAUUUAAGAGUCUUGGUGAUAGUGGGUCACAGCUGUGAAUGAGGUAACAUGUUAGUGUCAAAUAACGCAUGAAGCACAUGGCUCGCGAGUCAAAAAGAAAACAGUAAAAAGGAAAAAGCAAACAGUAAUAAAAUUAUUAAAGACAAUAAUGCAAACAAUAAAACAACAGUAAAAUGAAAUAAAAUAACAGUAAAGUAAAAGGAUAUUUACACGUAGUUGCGACUGUGGCUCACAUCUUCCUCUGGUUUUACGUCCAGAAACGGCUUGAACGCCCUCUAUGGGUCGAGGAUAGGCUUCCCAUCCAGUUUUCUUAUAAACAGGCAAACAGGGUCGUUUAUAGUCAGAUUCCCGAGACUAUAUCGUGCAUGCUCUUUCUGGAAUAAUGGCCAUAACUGGAGAAUCGCUCCUUGCACAUAUCCACUGGGAUGCGUUUCAAGAGACAAAAGGAUAUCAUCCAAUGACUCCUUAUUCAAGCCAUCCCUAAUGAAUUGAAUCUUAUCUUCCCUGUUAUCAGACAUCAUUCCUAAAGAACAUGGGUUUUUAUUGCAACUCAUUCUGGCACACUUAUGACAAGCAACAGAAAUUCUUCGAGCUCGUCGUUUUCUUGCAUAAUUUCCUUUACCACAACCAGGCAUGUAUGCAAUAAAUUUAGGAGGUAACUCACCUGCUAAUCGUACUUUAGCCUCGAUUAACCAACGGAUGUCUGCAGGUAUGUUAUUCCUCAUGAGCAAUCGCAUGCGUUCAGAUCGGGCUUUAUAGAUCGUAAGGAGGGCAUUCUGAGGGAGUGAAGGGAAUCGCUUGUGAAGCUUCGCUAGAAUCUCGUUUCUGUCCAUACCUUCGCCUCAGAAUAUCAGUUAUUAUGGGAAACUGAAGUAACCGACUUGAUUGUCACGGAGUACCGUUAUCCGCCACUUCACCGGGGUAAUAAACUAAAGCACACAAACAGAAAAACAAAUUAAAACACACAAAGAAAAUCAAAAUCGUCCUCGUAUUGAAUUUACCUCAAGCUCCAACUGGAUGUCGUAAACACUUCUCUCAAUAUCUCUGAGUUGGCUUUCUAAACCCUCAACAUAGGCUACUAACUCUGGUGGUUGUAGAGCCCAAAUGCGAUGUGUUUUACAAAAUUGAAUCUGCCUUUUGAGAUGAGUUUUGACACGUUGAAGUGGUUUAAGAAUGCUCAGGAGGAACGGUCUAAGUAUGGUACUCAUGAUUAACAAUGAUAAAAAAAACUUAAUGGAAAAACAAACACACUUAUGCAAAAAUAAUUUCAAUUAACAAAUAAAAAGAAAGAAAGAAAAAUCGAAUCAACGAAAAGAAAAAAAAAUCAAUUCAAAUCUGGUGGGUCACUUAAAUUUAUUUCGGUGUCUUCUCCAUGUGCUUGGUACUCUAAAUAUGGCUUUAAUCUUUGACCAUUGACUUUAAACGUGACACCGUUCUUUGGGUCUUUAAUUUCAAUUGCCCCAUGUGGAAAAACAGUAUGAACAAUAAAGGGACCAGACCAACGAGAGCGUAACUUACCUGGGAAUAGGUGCAAGCGAGAAUUGAACAAAAGCACUUUCUGACCUGGAGUGAACGAUUUUCUCAUAAUUUGCUUAUCAUGGAAGACUUUCAUUCGUUGCUUGUAAAUCUUGGCAUUUUCGUACGCGUCAUUGCGAAUUUCUUCAAGUUCUGCCAGCUGUAAUCUUCUUUCUGAGCUGGCUUGCUGCAUGUCAAAAUUGAAUUUCUUGAUGGCCCAAUAUGCACGAUGCUCGAGCUCCACAGGUAGGUGGCAAGCUUUUCCAUACACUAGCCUGUAGGGUGACAUCCCAAUCGGGGUCUUGAAAGCCGUUCUAUAUGCCCAUAAUGCAUCAUCUAGUCUUAAUGACCAAUCUUUCCUGUCUGGCCUCACCGUUUUUUCUAAUAUGUGCUUUAUUUCUCGAUUGGAUAUCUCAACUUGGCCACUGGUUUGCGGAUGAUACGGAGUUGCCACUUUGUGUGUGAUUGAAUACUUUGUCAAAAGAGCUUUGAAUGCUUUGUUACAAAAGUGGGCACCACCAUCACUGAUUAUCGCUCGAGGGAAUCCAAAGCGUGAAACAAUAUUGCUUUUCAAAAAUGCUAUCACCACCUUGUGAUCAUUGGUCCUACAUGGAAUUGCUUCUACCCAUUUUGAUACAUAGUCAACAGCAACCAAUAUGUAUUGAUGACCAAAAGACGGGGGAAAGGGUCCCAUGAAGUCGAUACCCCAUACGUCAAAAAUCUCAACCACUAAAAUUGGAUUUAGUGGCAUCAAGUUCCUUCGUGUAAUGCUUCCCAUUCGUUGACACCUAUCACAUGAAGAACAGAAAGUGUAAGCGUCUCGAAAUAUAGAUGGCCAAUAGAAACCACAUUGUAAAACUUUAGUCGCUGUCUUCUUAGCACUGAAAUGGCCUCCACAAGCUUGUUCAUGGCAGAAUGAAAGGAUAUUCUGAAUUUCACUUUCUGGGACACAUCGUCUAACAAUUUGAUCCGCACAAUACUUGAACAAAUACGGGUCAUCCCAAAAGAAAUUCUUUAUCUCUGCAAAGAAUUUAGCCUUGUCUUGCUUGGUCCAAUGCUCUGGAAGUUUACCUGUAACAAGAUAAUUAACUAUAUCAGCAUACCAAGGUAAUACUUCCACACUCAUUAAUUGUUCAUCUGGAAAUGACUCAUUUAAUGGUAAUUGUUCUAUAAUUGUGUCAAAAUGGAGACGAGAGAGGUGGUCCGCCACAACAUUUUCUGUCCCUUUUUUAUCUUUGAAUUCCAAGUCAAAUUCCUGCAAAAGUAACACCCAACGAAUUAGUCUGGCUUUUGCAUCUUUCUUUGUGAGAAGAUAUUUAAGAGCAGCAUGAUCUGUGAAUAUAAUUAUUUUACAACCAAUGAGAUAUGAUCGAAAUUUUUCCAAUGCAAACACUACUGCUAGCAUUUCUUUUUCAGUAGUUGAAUAGUUCAACUGUGCAUCAUUCAAUGUCAUACUAGCAUAGUAAAUAACAUGGGGAAUUCGAUCAACUCUUUGUCCUAAUACUGCUCCUACUGCAUAAUCAGAUGCAUCGCACAUUAGCUCAAAUGGUAAGUUCCAGUUUGGGGCCUGAAUGAUGGGUGAUGAUGUCAACAAAUGCUUUAAUUUUUCAAAUGCCACAAGACAUGAAUCAUUAAAGACAAAAGGUGCAUCCUUAGCAAGUAAAUUGCAUAAGGGUCUAGAAACUUUGCUAAAAUCUUUAAUGAAACGUCUAUAAAAACCAGCAUGCCCAAGGAAAGAUCUUACUUCUCUGAUUGUUUUAGGUGGAGGAAGAUUAGAAAUAAGAUCCACCUUGGCUUUGUCAACCUCAAUACCUUUGCUCGAAAUGAUGUGACCGAGAACAAUACCUUGUUUUACCAUAAAAUGGCAUUUCUCCCAAUUUAAGAUCAAGUUCUUCUCGAUACAUCUCUGUAGAACUAGUGUUAGAUGAUGUAAACAUUGAUCAAAUGAGUCACCAAAGACAGAAAAAUCAUCCAUAAAGACUUCAAGAAAUCGUUCAACCAUAUCAGAAAAAAUGCUUAGCAUGCAUCGUUGAAAUGUAGCAGAUGCAUUACAUAAUCCAAAUGGCAUUCUUCUAUAUGCAAAUGUGCCAAAAGGGCAAGUGAAAGUAGUUUUCUCUUGAUCUUUUGGUGCUAUGGGAAUCUGAUUGUAUCCUGAGUAGCCAUCUAGAAAGCAAUAAAAUUCAUGGCCUGCUAAUCUAUCAAGCAUUUGAUCAAUAAAUGGUAAAGGAAAAUGGUCUUUACGUGUGACAGAAUUCAACUUUCUAUAAUCAAUGCAAACACGCCAUCCUGUAGUUACUCUAGUGGGUAUCAAUUCAUUAUCAGCAUUCGUAACUACUGUGAUUCCUGACUUUUUGGGGACAACUUGUACAGGACUGACCCAUGAACUAUCAGAAAUUGGGUAAAUGAUACCUGCAUCUAAUAGCUUAAGGACUUCAAUUCUAACAACUUCUUUCAUAUUAGGAUUUAACCGACGUUGCAUUUCCCUAGUAGAUUUAGCAUUUUCAUCGAGGUGAAUGUAAUGCAUGCAGUCUACUGGAUUUAUACCUUUAAUGUCUGCUAUGGUCCAUCCUAAUGCUCCUUUGUGAUCUUUUAAAACAUCCAACAACUUACCUUUUUGUUCGUCAUUUAGGGAUGAUGAGAUGAUUACCGGCAGAGUGCUUUCUUCUCCCAAAAAUGCAUAUUCCAGAGUGUUGGGUAAUGGUUUGAGCUCGAGUUUCGGUGGUGAUUCUGAUGAUGGGAUGAGUUUCUUCUCUGAUGGUGCUAGUUGUUCAACUCUUGAUUUCCAUUUAUUAGUGUCCAAGGAUGGUGCGGAGUCAAGCAGGGCGUUGACCUCAUCGACCGAUCUGUCAAUAUCAAAAUUCAAACCAAAGUGAGUUAAGCAUGUCUGUAAAGGAUCAUCACUAAGGUUUGAAACAAAAGUGUCAUCAACUAAUGCUUCUAUUAAAUCCACAUCAACAAUUCCAUCAUCUGCAUUGUGAGGUUGUUUGGCAAUGUUGAAGAUGUUCAACUCCAUAGUCAUGUUGCCGAAGGACAAUUGCAUAUUUCCGGUCCUACAUUGAAUGUGAGCAUCCGCAGUUGCCAAGAAAGGUCGGCCUAGAAUAAUGGGGAUGUGCUUCCUUGAAUCCUGUAUUGGUUGAGUGUCAAUUACAAUGAAGUCAACAGGAAAAUAAAAUUUGUCUACCUGGAUAAGCACGUCCUCCACAAUACCACGAGGUAUUUUCGUGGACCGAUCUGCAAGUUGUAACACCACUGGAGUUGGGUGUAAUUCUCCCAGUCCAAGUUUCACAAACACAGAGUAAGGCAAUAAAUUUACACUAGCUCCUAAAUCCAACAAAGCAUUCUCAAUUGUGUGGUUCCCUAUACUACAUGAGAUAGUGGGGGAGCCUGGGUCUUUGCAUUUUAAAGGAAUUUUAUGUUGGAGUAUAGAACUAACGUUUUCUGUUAAAAAUGCCUUCUUUUGAACAUGCAUGUUUCUCUUUUUAGUACACAAAUCUUUAAGAAACUUGGCAUAAGAUGGAACUUGCUUAAUAGCAUCAAGCAAAGGGAUGUUAACACUUACCUGUUUGAAGAUUUCAAGAAUCUCACCUGUGGAUUUUCCCUUUUUUCCUUUCGCUAACCUCUGAGGAAAUGGAGCUUUGGGAACAUAUUCUUGUGGGUUGGUUUCUUCUUUCUCCUCCGGUGAUGAGUCAUCAACAUUCACAGGUACAAUUUGAUUUUCUUUUGUCACCGGCAUCUCCACUUUGUUGUCGACUUCCUUUCCUUUUCGCAAGGUCAUUACUGCUUUGACCUCUCCAUGCUGCUGUGGUGAACUGGUACUUGCUUCAUGUACUCCUUUAGGGUUAGGCACUGGUUGACUUGGAAACUUACCUUUCUCAACGGUCAUUGCCAAGGUCUGAACUGAAGAAGCAAGUUGUCCCACCAUCUUCUCGAGGCUUGAAACUGAUUGGGCUUGUGAAUUGAAGCCUGCUCUUAACUCAUUUCGUAGUCCAUCAAUGGUGCGAUUCUGUUGCUCAAUCGUGGAGUGAGUAAGAUUCUUAAGAUUCUGGAAUGAAUCCUCCCAUGGUCUGGGCUGAGAGUAAUUCUGGUUCUGAUUGUAUGGUCUAAAUGGUGGCUGAGAGGCUUGAGGAGUUUGAGAAAUUUGUUGCAUUGGUGGAGCUGGAGCUGCUGGUCCAUUCUGUUGGAAUCCUUGAGACCAUGAAAAAUUGGGGUGAUCUCUCCAUCCAGGGUUAUAUGUGUUGGAGUAUGGGUUGUAAUUUGAUGGCUUUCUCAUUACACCUAUGGCAUUGGCUUGAUCUGAGUAUGAGUCCUGGUCAUGUGGUUCUGUUGAUUUAGCAGUCGAUAACGAUGCUAUUUGUCGAGCAAGACCUUCAACCAUCUCCUUAACUUCUUUGAUUCCCGAAGUUGACUCGCCAAUUUGAACCUCAUUCACUCCUUUAAUCCUUCUAGUAUUCCUGAGUGAUCGACUCCGUUGUUGGGAAUUGUCCGCUUGUCGCUGGAAAAACUCCCAAAUUUCUGACGCACUUUUUGACAUUAGCUCUCCUCCACUUGUUGCCAUUAGCCAUUCUUGCACAUUUGGUAGUAAUCCCUCCAAAAAGUAUUGGCAUUGGUGCCAUUUCUCAUACCCAUGAUGUGGACACUUCAAGAGUAGCCCAUUGAAUCGCUCCCAUGUUUCAAAAAAUUGCUCGUCCUCUCUCUGGGUAAACUCCGAGAUUUCCCUGCGAAUAGCAUUGGUUUUAUGCACUGGAAAAUAUUUAUUUAAAAAUUUUGUAACCAUUUGUUCCCAUGAUGUAAUGCUAUUAGCAGGCAACGUAUUUAACCAUGAACGAGCUCUAUCCUUUAAAGAAAAUGGGAAUAGUCUAAGUUUAACAUCAUCAUCUGAAAAAUUCUCAUAUUUGAAUGUUUGACAAAUGGCAUGAAAAUCAUUCAGAUGAUUAUAUGGGUCCUCAUUUUCUAAGCCAUAGAAUGUGGGGAGACAAUUUAGCACACUAGGUUUUAGUUCAAAGCUCCUAGCAGCUACAUUUGGGUAUCUUAUGCAUGAUGUGCUCAAAUUAGCUAAGGGACUGAAGUAGUCCUUAAAUGGCCUCUCUUGUGGUUGCAAAUCCAUUUCAAAUUUAUUUUUAAUGUGCUUUUGUGUGCGAAGUGUUUUUUCUAAUUCAAGGUCUAUAGGUUCAAGAUUAGGUAAUAAUGACCUACGACCAUGCAUGCAAAAUAAAUAAAAUAAAAAUAAAGAUGCAAACAAAACAAAAAAUAAAGAUGGGAACAAAACAAAUAAAAAUAAAGAAGAGGGAGAAAUUACGAUACUAACCUUAUUGCGCUAUUACAACCUUUCUAUAAAAAUACACAAAAAUAAAUACGUGAAAGAAAUUAACUAAAAAUUAAAUUAAUAAGAUAAACAAAAAAAAUUACAAAGAAAAAUAAAUGGAAAAUUAAAUUACAAAAUUUUAAAGAAGAGAAAAAGAAAAGAAAUACUAACCUUUAAAUGUAGAUUCACUUUUUUUUUUUUUUUUAAUAAUAAAAAAAAAUACAAGAAAACAAAUAAAAGAAAUUAUUCACAAAAAUUAAUUCUAUGAAUUAAAAUUACUUACCUCCCCGGCAACGGCGCCAAAAACUUGUUGUGCAAAUUUUAAUGUACUCGCAAGCGCACGAAUCUAUUGUAGUAUAGAUCUAUGGUGACGAGUGUCGAUCCCACGAGGAGGUGGAUUUUAAUUGUGUAGAAUUAAUUUUGUAAAUGGGUUGUUGGAUUUGUGGUGGAAAUGAUUUGGUAUAUGCUAAAACUUAAAUUAAAAUGGCGAGAAUAAAUUCUAAAAUUGGAAUUGCAAUGGCGAGAAUAAAUUGAAGAUAAUUCUAUUGAAAUGACGUACUUGGGUAUCUGGAUCCGUAUCAACAUGCAUUAUGGGCUAAAUAAUCUGUAUUAAUGCCAAUUAAAUCAUGAGGGGGGAAUCCACACCUCAUGAACCACGCUCUAAUCAAUAUGGUGCUAAGGGCUUAUCGUGCCAAAUAAUAAUAACCUUAUACUAGAGAGCCGGUGUAACCAAGGCGGUAUCUAGACAAGACUAUUAUUAUUUGUCGACGAGAAGUCAAAACAUCCACAAAAAUUAGAGGGGAAGAGAAAAUAAAUUUACCAAAUUAAGCCCAUGACACAUAUUGAGACUUCACCUUCAACCCAAGCUUGAAAGAAAAUUAGCCACUCAUAAUUGAACUAGGGGCAAAAUGGGAAUUUAUUAAAAUACAUAGAAAAUACAAGAUGGAGAGAGAAUUACAGAAAAUGGAUCCCAAAAAUGGAUUCAGAGAUAUCAAAUUAGGGGGGGGAGGCCCCCUUUUUAUAGAUACAUGGAGUAAAUCAUGGCCAUCGGAUUAAAAACAGUUUGGACGCUCAGGAUUGCGCCACGUCAUCAGUCAACAGUCCACGUUUGACCACGCGGAUGAACAGUAACACGGUUUGACCCGACUUUGAACAGUAACGCGGUUUGACCCGGAUGAACAGUAACGCGGUUUGGUUGAAAAUAAUCCUGUGUGAUGCAUGCACCGUACGCGAGAUUUUUCGUCCACUGAUAUGCUGCCACGUCACCAUCAACAGUACAUAAGAAUUUUAGUCCAACAGGAUCGUGACACCUCAUCAGUCAAUGCCACAUCAUCGGUCAAUGCCACGUCAUCAUCCGUCUAUGUGAACAGUGUCGUGAACAGUAACGUAUACAGUACCGUACACAUGAAUAGUACCGUACAUGUGAAUAGUGCUAUUUUUCCUUUUAUGCUCCUCCUAAGGUUUUCGAUCGUCCUGAGUUCAAAAGUGAUGUCCGUUUUGCCGUCUGAUCUCUCCUUUAUUGUGAAAUGACUAUAAUGCCCCUAAAAUACAUAAAAUACUUAAUUAAAAUAAAACACAUGUAAUUAAAUCACAAGAAGGUUAAAUAUAUAAAAGUAAGGGUUGUUAGUAAGACUUAAAAUGUAAAAAGACGGUUUUCUCCUUUAUAAAUAUGCAUUUUCUAAUACUCAACAGAGGUCGAGAACGUUUUCGGGUCAGAGCCCCAAUCACAGCGUCCUCCAUCCUAUGGCCAGGAAGUAUCAAGCGAGACUCGAGCAAGUUGUAUGUGGUUAACAGUUCCCGGCUCGAGCAGAAAUUGACUAGCACAGCCUCAACCCGUUUGAGCUGGCCAGGUCGGAGUGGGAAAUGAACGCCCCAAGAAACUACAACACAAACAGACACUUGGUUAGAAACAAGCCAAUAAAACAAGAACAACUAUGGAUACAAGGCAUCUGGAGCGAGCAGGCAACUUGGGACCGUGAAACGGGGUGGGACCCGAUAAUCCUUCCCGUCCAUUUGUGCGACCUGACCCCAAGGACCCCCAGCAAAAAAGAACUUUCUCUUCCAAUUCCCACCACCACCAGUAGGGAGGUCGGUUAUAGGUUUCCUUGUCUUGGCGCUAGAUUGGAAGUAGUACCAGCCGGCAUCUUUGGGGCUGCUCUUUAGCUGGUACAGGUGCUUCACCUCAUCAACCGUGGGCUCGCUUUGGCAACAUCUGUCCCACAAUAUGAACAGACCAGAGAGCACUCUCCACCCAUUGGGAUUCAGCUGACCAGGAGCUAGAUUUAGCCCGUUAAGUAUCCGGGCAAAGUAAGGUUGCAAGGGACACCUCAGCCCGUACUUAAAGCUGUCCAGAUACAGGGUAACAUACCCCCUAGGAGGCCGGCUGGGAGCAUCCUUCUUUCCCGGGACCUUGAGAGGUAUCUCGCCAGGAAUGCUAUACCUCAGCCGGAGGUCCUCGAGCUCAUCAAACGUGGUCGUGCACGUCAUGUAAUCAAUAGCGUAAUCCCGCGAUAGGACUCUACCUCCUAUAGUACUCCUCCCCUCGGGUCGCGGCGCCCCUGAUGGGGACGCCUCACCAGAAUCAUCUCCUCGACCCUCACUCAAAGUAUCCUCGGAGCCAGAAGAUCCACCCUCACCAUUACUCCCGCUCGUAGAGGUCGUUUGGGGAGACGUGCUCCUAGCACUAGUCCUGACACUAGACCUAAUGGGCUCUAAGGGGAUCUCGGGGUCAAAGGCGGGAUCGGUGAGCAGACUAGGCAGGAAGUCCAACUCGUCGUCAUCAACCUCAAUGACCUUCCCUUUACCUUUCGACAUUCCCUAAACUCUAACCACAACACCACCAACUACUACCCAAACGAAAGAAAAAAGAAGUUACCUACAAACUAUCCGAGACCGAGGAGAGAGAAGUAAUACCUGAAGUACUGCUUCAAUCGGAGAAAGGCAAGGAUGGGGACUUCGUGCCGGAACUUCUUUGCCGGAGAAACAGAGAUGGAGACGGAGACGGAGUGAAUGGUGAAUAUGCCGUUCGAGAGGAUUUGGCUUUCUAAAUGAGGACGGACUUUUGGGCUGCCAGCAUAUAACUGCGCCGAAUCCCAAGGGCCUCAUAACCGUCGGUUUGAAAUUCACAUGGAGGGGGGGAUUUCUGCCACGUCACCUCGUCCGCAAUUAAAUGCGACAUGACUCUUGGCAGCCUUUUCUAAUCCCACGCGAGCGAGUACUGUCGAGUUUCCACUGCUGGUCCACUACAUUACCCAACACCAGAAACUGGGGGACCGGUGUUUGGGAGAGAUACUGUUUGGGAUAAAUAUGUCGACGAGACCAGGAAUGACGAGCAGAUAUCGGAUGGCAGAGUUCUGCGAACCGGUGUGUUCCGUGAAAGCCUGGUGCGCGGAAGAACAGGAGCAGAAAUAUCCUGUUCGUCCACGAUGUUGUCAUCCGCGAGGCCAAUUUCCUAUAAGAGGCAUACGGCCAUUCCGGCUAGAGGUCGAUAGGCGAGGAGACCCGGUCGACAGCAGUUGGCAAGACAUGCUCUCCAGCCCGAGAAUCUAGGCACGACAGCCACGCUUUCCCCUGAACCGUAGCGUAACACGCAAGAUCUCACAGAACCACGACAGCCACGCUUUCCCCUGAACCGUGGCGUAACACGCAAGAUCCCACAGAACCACGACAGCCGCGCUUUCCCCUGAACUGUGGCGUAACACGCAAGAUCUCACAGAACCCCGACAUCCACGCUUUCCCCUGAACCAUGGCGUAACACGCAAGAUCCCACGUUUGCCCAUAACGCUGCAGUCAGAGCCCCAGACCGUCUCGAGAAAAGCAAAAAACGGGGAUUCAGAGGAAGCCUAUAAAAAGGUAGCCAACGAAGGUAAAAGGGUUGGCAUUUUUGAGAUAAAAGAAAAAAACCACGAAAAAAGCCACAAGACCCGUGGCAAGCGUUCCCCGAACCUUGAUAUCUGACUUGAUCGUCGGAGGGUUUGCGCCGGGAGAACAACCGGCGUACUCUGACUUGUCUGUGUGUGCAGGGAUAUCUGGAGAAGAAGCAUUACUAGGAGACCUCCUGGUCGUGGGGAAGUUGAUCGAGCAGAGAUCCUGGUCGUAUAACGAGGAGAACUGGAAUCUCGCAUCAACAUCUUCCAUUAACUUUGCAGCCUCUUGAGCUUAGAUCUUUAUCUAUAUUGGUCAAAUUGUCCUAAUUUGUUUAUCAAAUUUAUUGCCCACUAUUGCCAUAAAAAAAAUUUAGAGUUUGUAACUUUGAUUAAAAAUUCCCAUGCUAGUCAGUUAAAGUAAGCAUUUUUUUUGGAAUUUUUGUAGUGUUCAAAGCGACUAUGUUGUUUAAUUAAUUAUUUUUCUUCCUCUUCAUGUGUUUUGUUUUAAUUUGUUUCUUUGUGUUUGUUGGGGGACUUAGCAUAAGAUUUCUAGGUAUCCAACCCAAAAGACUAGCCUUGUAGGUGGAGUGACCUACCUCCUUAUAAACCCAAAUAUCUCCCAUUUACUAACCAAUGUGGGACACAACUCAACAAUCCCCAUUCGGACGAAACCACCGUCGGACUCCGGUCCUUUCGUUUGACACACCUGAGUUGUUCUAUCACCACAUUUCGGUUAAUAGGGUCUAGCUCUGAUACCACUUGUUGGGGGGACUUAGCAUAAUAUUUCUAGGUAUCCAAGCCAAAAGACUAGCAUUGUAGGUGGAGUGACCUACCUCCUUAUAAACCCAAGUAUUUCCCAUUUACUAGCUAAUGUGGGACACAACUCAACAGUGUUGCAAUCCUCAGCAUGAUACUUUUAAGGUUAAUUACAAAUUCAGCAAAGUUAAAUCUAAGUGGGCAGAAAAUAUUAAGCGAAAGCACACGACUUAGUAAACAAAUUAAUUUCGUUCACAGCACCAAGUAAUACAAUCCAAAAAAAGGAAAAAAGGCACUACCGCAUUUUUCAUUCUUGUAGAAAAAAGCAAAUACAAAGUUAUUUUGUGAAAUCACUUCUAAAGAGUUGAAUCACAAUGUGAGAGAAAGAGUCGUCAAAUCACUUCGAAACACUACUGCGAUUAUGUUGUGAGGAAAGGGACUGCUGCAGUGGAGCUUGUUGCAGCAGCUGGCAGGUUGGAGAUGAGAGAGAAAGAGUUGUGAUGAGAGAAAGAGUUGAGCCAAACGCGUGAAGGUGACUGUUGGGUGCGUUUAUUGCGUGUGUGAGGUGUCCCACACCUUAGAAGAGACAUUUCAUAUUUUGCACAAAACUCACGGUUUUGUGCAAAGCUUUGUGCACAACUUAACUUUGUGAGAACAUCAUUUUCCGAAAAAUAAAUGAGUGUCCAAAGGAAAAUGAUGUUGUCAUAACACUUUACACAAAACGGUUCAUUUUUGUGCAAACUAUAAAAGCCACUUUUUGCUGCAAAGUUUACCACCCACACACACGUGAGAGGGGAGCAACAAAACUCACGUGCAGAAGUCUCCUUUCUUCCUCCAUUUUUUCCUAUGCUGCAAAGCUUCGAUCUCUCUCUCUCUGUUCUCCUUUCUUCCUUACGAGAGAGCUCGGGUCUCUCUCUCCCGUCUCCACGCCGCUAAUAGUCUCAGUUCCAUCCUCGUUCGCCGCGCAGCAACCAGAAGAUCUCUCUCUCACCCGUUUUAAUUUAUUGCUCUAAUUGAAAUCUUUAACUCGUUUAGGACAUUGUGCUGAAUUACCUAUGGAUGGUGGUGGUCUUCUGCUUGAGUGUUGUAAAUUAGAAUCAAAUUGUGCUUGAGUGUUGUAAAUUGGAAUCAAAUUAUGCAAAACCUGAUGCCUUUGGGAAUCAUGUUUAUUUCAAGCUUUCAUGUUGAGAUUUGAUUGUUUGAUGAAGCACCUGGAAAAUGUAGUUUGCUCCCUCAAAUUAUUUCACUCUGUUGAAUAAAUUAUAUUUGCCAUUAUUUGAAAAGAAUUUUAAAAAAAUUACAGUCUCUAAACAUUGAGCUUAUGUUAUAAUUUUUGUGUCUCCCUCAUUUAUAGCACUUUUUUUCAUCAUUUAUGCGACAAGGAGAACGAAGCUGAGACUGUUACUGGCGUGGGGAUGAGACAGAAAGAUUUGAGCUGUUUGGUGAGGUUUUGUGAGGGAGAAAGGAGAUAGGAGAGAGAGACACUGAGUUUUGUUGCUCCCCUCACAUGUGUGUUUGGUGUUAAAACUUUGCAGCAAAAAGUGGCUUUUAUACUUUGUACAAAACACACCGUUUUGUAUAAAGUGGUAUAAGAAUAUCGGCACUGGUGUCCAAAAUGCAGAAUUUGGUCCAGGACAAUGAAAAUGAUACAUUUUUCAUAUGCGUAAUGGCAGAUGCGUUCCGACACUAUUUUAACAGAUGUUUGGCAACUAAUUAAUCUUCUAUGAAUAAGAGGGCCAAUUAUUAUAUGCGUAUGUACGUGGCAGUAUGAAAUGAUAGGACAAGAGAAAAGUCAAAAAGUCAUCAAUAAUGUGUGGACUGCAUAAUUUUUUAUACACAUUUUUUCUUCUUAGCACACCAUCAUUAUCCAUUGUAUAUUUUCUACAUUUGUUCUUGUUUUUUUUUUUUUACUUUCCUGAACCUUUUCUUCUACAUUGUAUUAAACAACGAUUCCUGCCCAACUUUCCACACUAAUUGAAGUAUUGAGAAAGCUGCAAUUGGGUCAUGACUAUGAAUGUGCAAUGCAAUAUGUGCGUUUGUAAUUUAAGUAUUGAAAAAAGUGUUGAAAUUAAAAGCUGAAAUUGGGCCGUGGCUAUGAAAAUAUGUGUGUUUGUAGCACAUUAGCUAGAGACAACUUAAAUGUGAUAUAGUAUGAGUCUAUGAUAUAUGUGUGUGUAUACAUAUGUAUGAAUGUAUGUAUAUGUAAAGAGAGAGAGAGAGCUGCAGUUUUAAAAUUUUUCAAGAUAUUCUCGUAUUUUAAAAUUUUAUAUUGAAAAUUUUGUGUAUAUAUAUUCAAUGAUGUAUUAUGUGGUGCAUAACUAUGUUGAUGUCUAGAAUUUCUUUAAUGAUAAGAUACUUAAUAUAUUUAACUGAAAUUUUACCCAUUCGUUUAUAAAGUUUAAUUUUGGCCCCCUCAAAUUAAUGAUAUUUUGAUCUUGAUUUUGGCACUGUCGUUUCACAAAAAUGAUCUACUUAUUAUACGCAGGAAUAUUCCAUGAAGAUGUUACAACAUCCAUCUAAAGGAGUUUUGUAAUUUACACAUUUGCAAUUUCUUGAAAUUCAAAGAUUAUUCAAUAAUUCGUUUCCUUCUCUAAUUACACAAACUAAAGAUUUUCUCGGCUUUAAAAGGUGGGUGGUGUGACUUGUGAGGUCCAAACCACUCUAAUUUCGAUUCCUAUUUAGUAAAUAGGAAUUAAUAUGAAAUAUUUAAAAUUUUAUAGUGCGUUCACUAAAUAAGAAUAAAAAUUAUCUAGAAACAUAAUGAGUUAGAAACUCAAUAGAUAAAAUUGAAAUGACGAAUUAGAAUCAGAAUAAGAAUAAUUUAUUUACUUGAACUGUAAGAAUUGUAAUUAGAAUGAGUUGUAUUACCAUUUAUGUGUUUACUUUGUCGUAGAAUCAAAAUCGAAAUGAGUUAAAUUGUAACAAAUUAUUAUAAAAUCCUUAAUUAAUUUUAUCAUAAUUAUUAUUUUAUAUUUUAAUUAUUGUGAUUAUUAUUAUUAUUCAAAAAUUAAUAAUAAUAAUAAUGAUUGUUAAUAAUUAUUAUUAACAAUUUAACUAAAAAAAUAUUAUUAAUUUUUGUUAAUAGAUUAAUUAAUUAUAGUACUUUUUAUUCUUGUUAUUAAUAAUAAUUAUUAUCAAUUUAAAAAUUAUAAUUAUAAUAAUUAUUUUAUUAUAAUUAUAAUUCAUUUAAUAAUUAUUAUAUUUUUUAAUUAAAUGAAGGGUAUUUUGGAAAUUUAAAAAUUAUAAAUGGCUAAUUUGAUACUCUAAUCUAAGGGUUUCAAUAAAAUAAAAUAGAGUGUAAGGGUCUCAACAAAAUUUUAUAAUAGAGAAAGUUUCAUAUACUUAUGAAUAAAUUAUAAAUAAUAUAGAGUUCAAGGGGCUAAACGGUAUUUUGUAGCAAACAGGUCAGAAAUGAAAAGACAAGCCAGCUGUAGCUUACUUAGGGGGAUCAGCAAAAAUAAAUGUUAAGUUAUACUGUGUGGGCUAAAAUAUAUGUCAGGUCAAUUAUGUCAGCAUACUGUGAUAGUGUGAUUGUCUGAUGGGCCCAUAACCUGUCAAACAAGUGAUAGCAGAUCCUCAACAAGCAAUUCCUUCUCCUUUUUAUAAAUAAUUCAGUCCACAAGUUAGACAAGGGAUUGAAGCCGAGUUUAGUUUCCCCAAAAUCCUCCUCUUUACUUCAACCAACAAUUCUGCCCUCUUAACCCUGUCACCAACAGGCUUCCGGUGUUUCGUCGUGGGUGUGGAUACACUCUCAUUCUCGUGGGUGUGGAUGCAUAAUUGCAUUGCGAUUAGCAAACACAAAGGAGCCCUUUAUCACUCUCAUUCUCUCUCACUAUAAUUUCUCACCAUUUCUCCUGUUUUUUUUAACUUGUAAAAUGAAAGAUUAAAACAAUGAAAGAUACGAUCGUCCUUUAUACUUCUCCAGGAAGAGGUCACUUAAACUCCAUGGUUGAAUUAGGAAAAUUGAUACUCACGCAUCACCCUUGCUUCUCCAUCGACAUCAUAAUCCCCACCGCCCCGUUCGUAACAAGCGCCGGUACCGAUGAUUACAUCGCCUCCGUCUCCGCCACAGUUCCCUCCGUUACCUUCCACCAGCUCCCUCCUCCGGUUUCCGGCCUACUCGACACUUUACGUUCACCAGUUGACCUCCCAGCCUUAGCGUACGAGCUUGGCGAGCUCAACAACCCUAAACUCCACGAAACCCUAAUAACAAUUUCCAAACGCUCAAACCUCAAAGCCUUUGUUAUCGAUUUCUUUUGCAGCCCCGCGUUUCAAGUUUCCUCAAGUACUCUCAGUAUCCCUA